rnacentral:lncRNA from 1 species
GCAAGGAAGGGGGGUCGGGUAAGAUGAAGAUGGGUUUUUUUUUUCUCUCUCUCUUCUUCUUCUUCUGGGUUGCAAGUUGUAGGUUGGGGUUUUUUUUUGGGGGGGGGGGGGAGGGAGGGAGGGAAGACGACGUGGGGUUUGGUUUUUUUUUUUUAAUUUAUUUAGAAGAUUUAGGUUUUUUGAAAAAAAAAAAAAAAUUCCACGUGGCACAAAUGUGGCAGCCACGUCAGCAUUUAACAGAUUAAUAGAUGGAAAAUCUAACGGAUGUAUUAUAUUGAAAUAAAAUAGUACUUGAGGUUAGAAAGUGAAAUGUGUUGAUGCACAAAACCGAAGGUCUUUGAACAACGUAAAUCCGAUCGUGAAUAUGCAAGUAAUGUAAAUAACACAAGAUGUAUCGUGGUUCACUCCAAUGUUUGGGCUACGUCCACACUGAUUAUUGUAUUUCUCUGAGAGGUGAGGGGGAGAGCUUUGAGAAAGCUUAGAGCUUAGGGGAUGUGAGAAGGCUUAAGAAUUGGCCUCCCUUAUUUGUGAGGGUGAUGAGUCCUUUUAUAGAAUAAGGGAUCCUCACUUAUUACAUAUUUGCCCAUUCCUUUAUUACAUAAUUACAUUUAAGUCCCCUGAGUACUUGUACAAGGUCUAAAUACGGAGGCCCUAAGUAUGGUACAAACAGUAGUCCCCCAAGUCUUCAGUCAAGAGAGUCUUUUGGCUAGAGACUUGAAAUUCUGUCCAUGUGUGAGCCGAAAUAACUAGAUGUCGUCUAGAACUGAUAUUUGAUAUGCGGCAGUGCCCAUUUUGAAAUAAUGCUCAACUAGAAGUAGCACAUGCUGCGAGGCUGCUCUGCUUGUGUUGCCUUGGUUGGCUCGACUUGUGGCGUUGAAGGUGAGAGAGUCCCUUUUAUAGAAUAAGGGCUCGCUCCUCAUUACAAAGAUGAUGGGUUAGUUGGUGCUUGCGGUGAGGCGGAUGCUCAGCUGGCGGCGAUGCUCUCUAAUGAUAGUGAGGGAGUCCAUUUUAUAGAAUAAGGGAUCGCUCCUCAAUACAUAAAUAAUAGGUGCUCUCUAAUGAAAGUAAGGGAGUCCCUUUUAUAGAAUAAGGGCUCACUCUUCAAUACAUAAAUAAUGGGCUAAGUCCCCUAAGUAUUUUUUAUGAGGCCUAAUUGAGGCCCAAUAUAUGGUACAUAAUGUAGUCCCCCAAGUCUUCGGUCAAUAGAGUCUGUUGGCUGGAGACUUCAAAUUGAAUCCAUGUAUGGGCCGAAGUGGCGGUUGUUCGGAAGCGGUAUUUGUAUACCCUGCACUGAAGCUUUAUAGGUGAAGCUUUGCAAGUGAAGCUUUGAAGCUGGAGCUCAGUAAAUGAAGCUUUUGAAGCUAGAGCUUUUGUAAAUGAAACUUUUGAAGCUGGAGCUCUAUAAAGGAAGCUUUUGUAAAUGAAGCUUUUGAAGCUGAUUCACAUGAGUGAUGCUCAUGAAUGUUUAUGUUGAUUGAUAUGAGUGAUGCUUAUGGAUGUUGACAUGAGUGAUGCUCAUGGAUGUUGACGUGAUGCUCAUGAAUGUUAACAUGAGUGAUGCUCAUGAAUGUUUAUGUAUGAUUGAUAUGAGUAAUGUUCAUGAAUGUUUAUGUAUGAUUGACAUGAGUAAUGCUCAUGUAUAAUUUGAAGUACUGGGCAUACUUUUGAUUACCUGGUUGGCGAUAAUAGCGGCAGGGUGCCGAAUAAUUUUUUGUAGUACUGGGCGUACUUUUGGUCACCUGGUUGGUGAUAAUAGCAGCAGGGUGCCGAAUAAUUUUUUGUAAUACUGGUCGUCCUUUUGGUCACCUGGUUGGUGCUAUUUUGAGCUUAUGGGCCUUCGCCCUCUACACAACAUUCCAGCCUAUUUAUUUUGGGCUUUACCGUUUUUUUUAAUUACCCUAUGAUGGGGUUUAUACAGAUGUCUCCGAAAGAUAUGAAAAAUAAAUUACAUCAUUCAAAAAUAAAUCCGACCCUCUGCUCAAUGGGUCACGCCAAUAAUUCUUUUUUUUUAUGCAUGCCAUCACCACCGCAAUUAUGUCUGCUUCUUUUUAUCUUCUUUUGCUUUCUGCUUUUGCUUUUACUUUAUCUUUCUCUUUUGGCAUAUGGCAGACAACGCCAAAACGGAAUAAUGAAUUAUUAUGAGAACAUGAAUCUUAUCUUUUGCCUGGUUUUCCACUAGUGCUCGUGGUAUUCUCAGGAGAUUGGAUCUGGGGGUAGGCGACUACCCCAGCACCUUGCCCUGAUACGUAAUAGCCUGAUGUCCCACUGCCAUCUCCAUACUGGAAGGUGUACGAACAAUGGUUAUUCUGUGUGGAACAAAUAGAAUCCGAUUGAGAUUCAAGACUGCACCUUCGAUCUGAGCAAGAAAUGAAUUGUGACGUUGAUGAACUUCUAGGAGGAGAAGCAGAGGAUCUUUGACUAUGAUGAUCUUUGAAUUCCAGAUGAAACUGAAUAAAAUGCAGGUUGUGGAGCUUGAUGUGGGCCCAGAUCUGCUUGACAGCUUUGGGGCGGGAGGAUUCCUUGACACUGAGGAAGAUUCCCAGAGCUGGAGGGAUGAGAAUCGACUUCAUAAUCCCGAUGGUGGGUUUGUGCUUGGUCGAAAGAUCAUUUCUGGCAGGGGAAAACAUGUACCAUACCUAUUGCAAAUCUUGCAAAUUCUCUGCUUCUCCAUGGAAGAUGAAGAGCAUCGAAUCUCUGUUUUCUCUCUCUCUCUCUAAAACGUUUUCGUUAUAGAGUGCCCCAAUAGAAGUGGACGGGCAGUGAGCAUGCCAUUUAGUGCCUCCUCCAAGACAGUAACUGAUACGGUGGUCUUUAUUGGCACUCCAAGUUUACUAAAAAGGGCAGCAAAAAUAGUAUUUACAGCACCCAAACUUGAAAGAUCUAGCUCCAACUAGUGGCUUUCUGUUUCAACAGCCUGAAAGCCGGCAGUGUCAUACCGACGCCGUUUGUCUGGAUCAAAUAAUAUAUUAUAAGAAAACAUGACCUUCUUGAAGAUAUCAGCUGUUUUAGAGUCAUUAGCAUUUUUGUCAGGAUGGUACUUGAGAGCCAUUUUCCGGUAAGCACUUUUGAUUUCCUGGUUGGUGGAAUUCCUAUUGAGGCCGAGGACCGCAUAAGGGUUUUGUCGGAGCUGCUUCUUAGCUUCUUGCUUCUCCGAUUUUGAUCGGCUGCCCUGCAUUUUUGAAAUUGACGGUCAAUUUCUUCACAAAACCCUAGAAAUUGCCUCUCGAUUACCUCCGAAACACAUAAUUCACGACUCUUGGUUGAAAUUUUUUUUUUUCAUUUCAAAGAAGUGGCGGAGGUAAAUCAGUUGUCACAUAGCACCGGAGCAUGAGGAAAACCUAGAAAACCAAGAGGCAGAGAGACUCCAUGCACAUCUAACCUGGAACCUUGCAGGAGAGAGCAGAGAGAAAGAGACAAGAAAGAUUGAGGGAGAAGCGAUCUUGGUGCAUCGUCUGUGAUUCCUUGGUGAUUUGCUCGAUCGGGACUCUGAAUUCGUGCAAGUCAUUGCUGUUAAGCAAGAAUCGCGAGGAGUCGGAGAGCUUGGAAAUCGAGAAGGAGAGAGGGCCUUUAGUCAGGGCUUGGAGGGUGUCGGACUCCGUCGGCCAAGAUUGGUGCACGGUCACGGCGUCUGGGCCCAUGGCGGUUGUGUAAAUGGGGGAGGUUCUAGGAGUCCAAGAAAGAAGAAGAAGCAGCGACCAUAGAUCUGGGAGUCCAUGGCGCUUGAAAGAUACGGCGAACAAGUCGGACUUGCUGCUGGGCAGCUGGCGGUGAUAAUGUUGGUGCAUGGGUUUUGGAGUGGGAGUGUUUGGAAUGGGUUUUUUGUUUAGUUUCUAUGUGUUUUUUCACAGAGAGAGAGAGAGAGAAGUGAUGGUGUUUAAGGGAUGAGUUUUGGAGCUUAGUGAAUGCUUUUUCUGGAAAAGCCCAGUGAGGUUUGUGGGUUUUUGCAGAUUUUGCAGAUUCGCGGUGGAGGUGAAAGAAUGAAAGAGAACCGACACAACUUUUCGUAUUGAUUCCCACAUACGGCGCCAAAUGUUGAUGCACAAAACCGGAGGUCUUGGAACAACGCAAAUCCGACCGUGAAUCUGCAAGUAAUGUAAAUAACACAAGAUGUAUCGUGGUUCACCCCAAUGUUUAGGCUAUGUCCACACUGAUUAUUGUAUUUCUCUGAGAGGUGAGGGAGAGCUUUGAGAGAGCUUAGAGCUUAGGGGAUGUGAGAAGGCUUAGGAAUUGGCCUCCCUUAUUUGUGAGGGUGAGAAGUCCUUUUAUAGAAUAAGGGUUCCUCACUUAUUACAUAUUUGCCCAUUCCUUUAUUACAUAAUUACAUUUAAGUCCCCCGAGUAUUUGUACGAGGUCUAAAUACGGAGGCCCUAAGUAUGGUACAAACAAAAUGUUUUAAAGAUGUUGUAUGGGGUUGUAAUAGACCUCAAACUUGAGGGGUUACUAUGUAAUUUACCCUUAAUUAAAAUAAGGGCAAAUGAAGAGGAUGGUUGAACUUGUUAAGUUUCUUAAGUGUGUCUAAUUUAAGUGUGUUGUUAAUAAACAUUUAUUAUGGAGGCAAAGAGAGGGAAGGUGCGGCAUAGAAAGAGAAGAGAGAGAUAUGUAAUUGUGAGUUGUGUUUUAUUCCAUCCCAUUGUGCAUUUAUUUAUAUUAGUUGGGAAAGUUAAUUCUUUAACCUUUUAGGAUUACAACUCUAAUAGGAAAAUAUAUAAUCUAAAAGAUAUGGUAGAAUCCCAUAAGAAUAUCCUAGAUAUGUUAGGAUUUACACAAUCAUAUUCCUAUUCCAAUAGGACUGCAAAACAUUUGUAUUUUUUUAUAAUUUUUUUGAUAAUUUGUUGGCAUUUUCAAUUUUUGUUAACAUUGAAAAUAUAACGGUUCAGAUGAAAAACCUUUGGAAAUCCAACAUUGAAAAUAUAACAGUUUGACGUUGGGCUGUGGUGAAGGAGGCUGGGCUGUCACGUGGGUGGGGCCCUCCCUCUCCCACUUGGUGAUUCAAAGGGCGCAGGCCCGUGCAACAAUUGAGGCAGCCCAUAGAGAUCCUGCGUUUCACCCAUUUGCCAUUUUUUCCACCGCUGGAGCACCAAAAUUCGGUCCAAAGGCAGGGGUUCCAAUUGCAUGGGCAAUUUGGUUUCCGCUGGAGGUGCUCUUUGUCGACUUUGUUUAUUCUUUCUUUUUAGCUUUGCAGUAAUAUUGAAGUAAUCACUCCAAUUGUAUCCGAACUUUUGUUGUCCAUCAAUUUGUAUCAAAACUAUUGGUUAAUUUACAUAUUCAGACUAACCUUCUCAUUAUUUUUAGUAUUUUUAUCAUAAAUAAUAUCUAAAAUAAUCACAUUUUAUUCAACAACCACUCAAUUAAAAAUUAAUUAAUGUUGUUUCUAAACCAUUACAUCGAGCUUUUGUAAAUACACAUCAAUAUUGCAGCGAUCCGAGGCAUUGUUUUCUACGCCUUGGAUUUGGCGAAUUGGAAAAGAGAAGAGUUACGAGUAAAAGUCCCUCACAUUAAGAGGGCUCCUCCUCGGGGAGAUGAAGAUGAUGAUCUUUUGUUUUUGUUUCUUAAUGAUUAAUCCACGCAGCAACAUAUAAUUAGAUUGUUGGGAUCUACUCAAGUUCCAUAUCACGCACUAAUAUAAAGUUUGACAAACGAAACGAAAUAUGUGCUCUCGAAAGCAAAAUGAGGGCACUGCUCCAAGAACAGGAAGGGCUCCUUGUCGAGGUUGCCAUCCGCCAUGAGGGAAAACCGGAAGAAGUUAGACAACAAUGAUGACAUCGAUUUGCAACACCCAUAUUGGGACAUCAAACUGUGAAAUAAAUACUCAAAACUCCUGGAAAGUCCUCGGGACAACAAACUUUUAUCUCCUUCAAAUAUUUCAUUUUACCAAGUUUUAUGUUUGAAGGGAGGGAAAAAAAGAGAUGAGAGAAUCCUACUCCUUAUUCUUGAAUAUAUUCAGGAAUAACUAUUGAAUAAAGAGAGAAUGGAAGGGGAUCGAAAGAGGAGGGAAGAUAAUUCUAGUCCCAAACAUAAAAAGGACCACAACUUUUAAAUUAUCAGCACGAUCAUCAUCUGAUUGAAGAGACCAUUCAUUGUGAAACAUAUCGUCAAUCAAUAUGUCUAUAUCUAUUUAUAUACCACAUUUUUGGAGUAGGAUUCUCCCCCCUCCUAUUACCAUCCCCUUCCAUCCCCUUCCAUCCCCUCCUUUCAUACUUUUUUUUUUCUUAUUCUCUAUAUAAAAAAUUCAAAACAAGAUGUAGAUGUGUCGUAAUCGCAAUAGUUUAAAUAAAAGGAGAUGGAAGGAGAGAUAAAUUACGAGGGGAGAGAAUCUUACUCCCACAUUUUUCUUCUUCAUAAACAAAAGAGAGGUUCUAGAUUACUUGACUCUAUGCCUCAUUUUUUUCAUCAAGUAUUUGUGCUAAACGGGUUCAGUUUCAAGUAUUUUAGUUUUUUGUCAAAAUUGAGAAAACUGAAAAUCAAACAUUAAUAUGCAAAAUUAAAAAAUCAACACAUAAUUAUUUAGAAAUCGCAAUAGAAAAGAAAAAAUGGAGGUUUGUGAUGAAAAAUCUUUUAUACUAAGUAAUUUAGUAUCCUUAUGCAUGAAGAUAAUCAAUUCGUUCGUUAUGGUCAGACUCUUUUUGAAUUUUUGAACACAUUCUCCAUAGGGCCUUCUUAUUUGUUCCUUCUCCGAGUUGGGGUUAUGGAAGAAGUAAAAGAAGGAACCAAGAAGAAAGUAUUGGCAACAACCGAUUUCGUUACGGGACAACUCUUGAUAUUCAUAUCGAUCUAUUAUGUACCUUUGCAUCUAGCAUUAGACAAUAACUGUCAUAGCUUUACCAUAUUUUUUUGUUUCAUUUCUUCUGAAACAAUAACACACACUUUUUUAUUAUGUGUCUAAUACUAGGAAUUCAAUACAUAAUCUUAGCAUUCAAUAGUUAUUCCUGAAUAAUUUCAUUUUUCAAUUGAUCAACCAUUUCAUUUUUCCAAGUUCAAUCAAUGUUAGUCACAUUAGUCAACAUUUAUAUAUUUUGAUGCAACAACAAUAUGUUAUUUGUAACAAGUGAUUUUGCUAGUUGGUUAAUUGGUCACAAGUUAAUGUUCGGUUCAGUUCAGCUUUUCUCUCGAUUUUUUGCGAUUCGGUUUUUUCGAUUCUCUUUAGAUUCGGUUCGAUUUUGUUUUUUUAUUUAUACUUAAUUUUUUUUAAUCUGAAAACACCAAGAACAACACAAGCAUACUCAAUCAAACAACUAUCCUUCUCCACAAAUCACAGUAAUAAUUACAUUCAUUUAGCUAAAAUGCAAAUAACUAACAAACUCACAAAAAUCGAAUAAAAACUACAAAUUGCUUACUCUUUUUCUUUGGGUUUCACUCGAAAAGUGUCGGUAAAAUUUAGGGUUUGCAAGAACGCAACCGAAAUCCAAAACGGAGGCUCUGUGGCUUGUGGGCUGCUAUUGAGUUCCAGUACGGAAAACCUUGCUUACUCUCUAUCACGGUACAAAGUAUCAGUACCUUUAGCACUGUAUUUGGUAGAACCAAAUUAAAAGCUAACAUCAAUAACAACUACCAGAGACAUAAGCUCUUAUCAAUGCUUUGGAAACAGUCAUGUAUCUCCAAGUGUAAUGAUAUAAUUAGUAAGAAAUUUAAAAGAAAAAUGGUGAUUUCAUAUAAAAUCAAUAAAAAGUUACAAUAUUGACAAUAUAUCAACAAUUUUUAUGGGGUAAAUUACAUAGGACCCCCUCAGGUUUGAGGUCUAUUACAACCCCAUACAACAUCUUUAAAAUAUUUCACUUUCAUACCUCACCUACUAUUUUAUUUCAAUAUAGUACCUCCAUUACAUUUUCCAUCAAUUGAUCCAUUAAGAGCUGAAUUGGUUGCCACAUUUGACACGCCCCGAUCCCGAUAUCCUCGGGAUAUCAGGAUGGUCACGUGCUGGCCGACACCCGAGGGUGACGAAAGCCAUUUAUUGAGUGCAAUUGCUGAAAAUAAAGGAUAGAUAAAACUUAUAAAUGUAAAAGAAUAAGGAAUAUGCAUUUAAGGAACGUGUUCAGAGCAUACAACUAACUAGAACACUAAAAGAAUGAUAUAAAAUGGAAUGAAUAAAAGAAUGAGUCUUACACCAAGAGGACUCGAAGAUGCCGAUGCGGAAGUACCUUGAUUGUCGGGAUUGUACGCCUCGAUCCUAAAUCCUGAAGGGGGCGCAAAACAAACAUGAGUGGACCAAGUUGAUAUAUAUAUAAUAAAACAGUUAUCAAUAUACUAACCCCCAGGUUUAUGAAAACAAAUAUAUAAUGAUGAACAUAGGUUUUCCGAAACCUAGCAUGAUGUGCAGUAUCUCAAAUCAUAACUCAUAUAUAAUAAUCACUAGUGAAUUGUCCGAUAACCUGCAGGCCCCAUGCCGGCUCCCCGUCUCUGAGCAGACAGUCAGAGGAAAAUACACUUCAGGCCCCAUGCCGGCUCCCCGUCCCUGUGCUAAAUAGCCAGAGGAAACACACUCCAGGCCCUAUGCCAACACCAAACCGUCGCCCGGGACGGACCGGAAUCUAUUCCUACGUCCCGUAGCGGAAAUGACCACUAGGUAAGUACAAAACCAUUGAACAUACAUAUAUUGAAAAACAACUUCAUAGUAUAAAGUCAUCCAUCAUCUAUACUAUAAAGAGGUGUUCGAAACAUGUUCUAAAUAUCAUAUCGUCAUCCAUCAGAUAUUCUAUAAGAACACGGGUUAUAGGAAAAAUAGUAAUAAUUCAAGGUAGCCUCAGUAAGCAUGUUAUCUCAAAACGUUUCAUAAAACGUAAUCAUUAAAUCAUGCAUUUCAUGUAUGCAUUUCUACUAUUAAAACAUGCUUUUGAAGGGGUCCACUCACAGUACUUAGCCGCCGAAGAGCCACGCAAACUAACGUCACCAAUAUUGCCCCUAAGCACAUAAAUGGUCCAAUUAAUAAAACUAUAUAAUAGCAAUUGGAUUUGGGAAAACGGACGUUGGAAACGGAUUCAGAACGUCGAAUUACCCUAAGAAGGGUCCCGGACGAAAACCCGAAAAGUCAACUCUAAAGUCAAUGUUGACCGGAGGUCAACGGUCAAAUUAGGUCUAACGGGUUUUAGGCUUGAAAUCCGGAUUAGGGUUUAGGUUAAAUAGGAUUAGGAUUUAUUGGGUUUUGGAAUUCUAAGGUUUUUGGGUUAAAAGGGUUUAGGGUGAAAAUGGGUGGUUUGGGCUUAAUCCCAAACUCACACACAACACACACACACACUACACAAACCCUAAAACACACACACACACACGGGCUGCACUAGGGCAGCCCUCACAACACUUCACAAAGGCCCUAAGGCCUUAUUAAAGGACAGGGCUUUAAGCCCUUUAAAGGAUACUGGCCCAAGGCCCGUCAAAAUAAGGCCCGAGGCCUUUGGGUUUUAAAAAGAACAAGAACAAAUUUAAAAGAAAAGGGGCUGGGGUCUACUGGGCUAAGAUAUAACGGGCUUAAGGCCCGUGGGGUUUUCUAAAGGGCCUGAGAGGCCUGGGUUUGUCGAAGGAGAAGGCCGGAAUUUCGGCCGGAAAACCACCCAACUUUAAAUGGCCAUAACUUUGUCAAUACUCAACGAAAUCAAGCAAGACAAAAAUGAAAGUUGUAGCCCUUGAAGCGACGAAGAGAAUGGUUCCUCACACGACGUCUAACUCGCCGUGGUUUGGCCGGAAAAUGCCUCGAAAUCCGUCGGACUCGCCGGAAACUGGGUAAGAUUCAAAUGAGUAUAACUUCUUCAAUACUCAACGAAAUUAAGUGAAACAAAAAGGAAAGUUGUAUUACUCGACGAGACGAAGAGAUUGAUACCUUACACGCCGGCCAACUCGCUGUGGUUUGGCCGGAAAUGGCCUCGAAAGGGGCGGUGCUCGCCGGAGCUUACUCCGUGCCGUCGAACUCGCAGGGUAGGGUCCGGGGUUCGUUGCAAGCCUCUCUUCGAUGGUGACUCGGUCCUAGUGAGUCCAGGGGAAGAGAGAGAUGCGAAAGGUUGAGGGAGAGAGAGACGGGAGAGCUGAGAAAGAGAGAGCUACGGGAGGGAGAAACGAAGAAGAAGAAGAGAGAGAUCAGAAAACAUAAAAAAAAUAAACAAGGUGGGCCCCACGGGCUCACCAAUUAAGGCUUUAAAACAAUUUUAAAAUAUAAAAGAGGGUUGGGGUGUUUCAACAUUUGUACCACGUGGCAAAAAAAAAACCUAAAUCUUCUAUACAAAAAAACUAAAAAAACCAAAAAAAGCAAAAUCGAACACUCCACCCCGCAAAAAUCCUAGCAUCUUCCUUUUAUUCCCCACAACCCCAAAUUCCCCCCCAAAACCCCUAAAACCCAAACCCUAAUUCCUCCCCCACAUGAAGAAAAUCCCAGUCCAAUUCAAUCCCAAUUACCUCAAAUCCCACCAUAGAAACCCUAAAUUUUGGUUCCUCAAUCCCUAGAUUUCCCACGCCUCUGUUGCCUACACCUUAUCAAUCUUUAGCUUUCUCCCUCAUCCCCUCCAUGAACGACACUUUCUCUCAUCCGCUGUUCCCCAGCAACGGCACCGAUACCUACGAGGCCUGGUACGGCAACAUCCAGUACCUUCUCAACAUCUCCGCCAUCGGCUCAUUCUUAUGUGUCUUCUUUUUCACCUUGGUCAAGCUUUGAAGCGAUCGCCGCCGCAUGCCCGGCUCGUCCUCCCUCGUUGCUAAGCUCUUCGCAGUGUGGUAUGCUACCUGUCGAGAGAUUAUGCUCCCAUGUGGCGCUGAGGCCAUAAUACUCACGCACCCAUCUACACACCCACACCACCACUACCGUGGACUCUCUCUCACUCUCCCUCGUCUUUGUAGAGCUAGGUGAAGCCUAGAAACCGAGAACUAGCUCCAGCAAACCCCGUGAGUUUCGAGCCAGAUCCCUGCCGACUCCGACCAUCCCAUGACCAAUCUAAGGUACAAAACAUUUCCCCUUGACUCUAUGCUCUUUUUCGUAUGUAGAUCGUAGGGAAAAGCCCACAGAAUGAGAGAGAAUAGUGACCUGAGAGAGUCCACGGUGAUGGUGGUGUGUAGAUGAGUGCGUGCGUGGGUGUACUGUCGGGGAUAGAGUCUGAGAGAGAUAGAGAGUGAAAGAGUCUGAGAGAAGAGUGACUUGCGAGAGUGAGAGAUUCGAGAGAGACUCGGGAAAAGAUUUAUGGGUUUGGGUUUUUCUGGUUUUUUAUUUUUAUAAUAAUAGGGUUAAUAUUAUAAUAUUUUUAAUGUAUAAAAAUUUCUUUUUUGCCACGUGGCAGCCACAUCAGCACAAAUGUGGUAGUUGUAGAUGCAAAUUUCUUCCUCUUGAUCUUGGACAAUUUUGCACCUACAAAACAAUUAACACCUUAGGUUAAGGCCAAAAGCCUCACACACCCACAAUGAAUGGGGGGCUUUGGCCGAAGAACCUCUGUUGCCAAAGUUAGAAUUUAGAGAGAAAGAGUCUUUACAGAAUUUUGGGAUUUUUGCCAAAGUGUUGGAAUGGCUUUCUGGUGAGAACGGGAUCACUUUUAUAAGGAUAGGAAGUGGUCGGCCUAGCUAGGGUUUUUGGGUUUAAUUUAGGUUUAAUUCUUCAAUUUAUUUGGCUAAUUAAACCCUAAAGAAUAAAUUGGUGGUUACAAAAUUGAUUAUUUGUAUAAAUGGGGUAAUAAAAUGGAGAAAAGUGAAAAAGGUUAGGAAAAGGGAGGUAGCUAGCUUCUUAGUAGUUUUAGGUGUGAGUGGGUGUUUUAAUUGAUAAUUAAGGGAUUGAUUAGGUAAUUAAUCCCUUAAUUAAACAAUUUUUAGGGAAUAUGAAAGGAAAUUAUUAUUUAGCUAAUUGAUUAGCUAAAUAAUGGAAUACAAAAUAUAUAGAAUAAAUUAGGCUUUAGGUAUUACCUUAUAGAAAUGAUUUGAUGAAAUAGGCUUUAAAUUGUUAACUAUUUUGGGCACUUUUGACUUGGUUGAGGAUGAUUGUCUGCCGCUCGCACGUAGGAAUCUCGAUAUGCCUUAAGGGUAUUUUUGUCCUCUUUUACCCAAAAAUCCACGUGUCGCCUUGUGAUUAUUUUUGGCUCCACAAAUGCCCCCACACCUGUUGGGCUGCUCGCAGAAAAUGGCAGCAGGUGUAGAGAUCAUCUUGCUUUAGGAAACGUAGGACUACUUCCUCUUUAGAUGUAGAUUCUCUCUUUAAUAGGAAAUUAGGUUCUUCUAGGAAAGGGAAAUAAAUUUCUGUUAAAGCCUAUUUAAGUCUACCUUAAGUGGGUUAUUAAAUCAACUUUGGAGAGCGAUUUCUUAUACCCUACAAGAGAGAGGGAGCUUAGAGAAUAUUUGUUCCCCCUCUUCUAGCAAUCUUCUACAUCUUUCCCGUGCAAAGGAUCGUCUUUCGUUGAUUUCUUCGUCUUCUCCGUGCCGCACCGAUGUAAGAAAAAUUUAAUUUUUUGCUUAUCUUCUUCUUGGAUAGUACUAUUACAGGGCAACCGUUAAGGUAGUGCGGCACGUCUACUGGCAGGGGCUAGGAGUUGGCUCGGCAUCGGUCGAUGAGGCAUUAUGGCAGGGGCCACUGCUUAGGCUGUUUGGCUUGGCUAGAGCCAAUGGCAGCUUGUGCGGCUGGGGUCGCGGAUUGUGGCGUUGGGGCGCAAUGCUAGGCGAGCCACAUGGUUAAUGUCCUUUAGGCUCUUAGACCUUACUCGGGCCAGGCUAGCGACUGAAAGAAAUGAGGAGGUCGUGGGCCUCAUGGGUUGUUGGAAUGUUGGGCAUGCAGGCCUCCUGUCUGCUAGAAUGCUAGGUUGAGCUCCUCUGCUGAGUACCGUGAAUGGCGUUGGCUGCUUAGUUCUUUUUACAGAGAGAAAGGUGGGCUGCUCCCGAAAGAGGAAGUAAAGAGGAUCAAGGUGGAUGCAUUGGCUCGUCUAAUCGCUGUCGUGGAACCUCCUAUGAAUGAAGAUGGAAAUAAGAGAUCUUCCCUGCCUACUCAAGAGAUGCCGAUCGAGAAAAAUUGAAGACUUUCUCCACUGCUGCUCAUGAUGAUUUGUCUGCUGUCGAUAGGCCUGUGAUUGGCAUGACUUCUUCCAAUGGGAAGAAAAAUGAGGCUGCUAGAUCUGAUCAUGUGGUGCCUUCCAUGUUGAGAAUUGCUAGUACAAUUGUUGAUAAGAUUGCUUAGCGCAAAGGUUUUAUCAUGCCCCCAGUACCGAAGUCUGUACCAGGACUUUCGUUUGGAGCAAAGUCUGGUUCACCUUUGGAGAUACUUGCUAUUAUGAAAAGUGGUAAGGUGGACUCUGCUGCUAAAGUGGCGUCAAGGCCCACUCCCUUUGUUGCUGAGACUGAUUCGCCUGCUAGGAAGGAAGAUACUACUUGUAUGGGCAGCUGUGAGAAAUCCACUAAACUUGCUUCUGGGGAGGCUGCUGAGAUCAUUGUGCUUUUGAAACUAUAUCUGCUUGAAGACAUGGACGCUUGUGCCAAGUUUGUUGAUGGCGGUAGAAAGGUUGUUUACCUAAGUUCCUUUGCGAAACAUACGACCCAAUAUAAAAUGACUGCUCUGCUUACUAGGAUGCAUAAAUAGCAAGGUUGUCAAGGAGGUGGCGAAGAUUAUGGCAGCUAAAGCUUAUUCCUCAGUCGAGGAGAUCAAAAGGUUGAAUUAUGAGCUUGUUGCUUUGAAAGAAAUGGAAGAACUGCAACACGUUCGUGUUAGUCUGUUUGAGAAGAAUGAGCAGCUAAACGGUAAGAAUGAUGGGCUUGAGGUUUCUCUAUUUUUCCGGAAGACUUGCUUACUUUUACUUUUGAGGCUUCCAUUGGUGAAGUAGUUGGAGACGUUAGUGCCCAGGCUUAGGCAACCGGGGGUGAAGCACCGGAUGAUGCCGCUGCUAAGAACGUUACGGCUGCUGAAGGUGUGGAGACCAAGUAGUCGUGGGAUGUCCAAGCUGCUGUAGUGUAGUAUUUUAGGUAGCUUUUAUGAUUUUCUUUGUUUUUCCUUGUAGCUCUUGUUUUGCUUGAACUUCUUCGGCCUUUGCUAGUUGUAUAAACAUGUUUUCCUUCGCUUUUCUUCAUCUUCGCUUCUUUUGUUCAUGCCCUAACCUUUAGACUUGAUAGACCAAUGGCAGGCAUGCUACUUUUUUAUAAGCAGACAAGCUCGCGUAGCCUAUGCAGCCGUAAAUGUUGGUGUAGAACUUUGCAAAGUUGUUAGCCAUUAGGUUGGUAACCAGAUACCUUACUUACAGAAGUAGACAAGUCCGCAUAACCACUAGGCUAUUAACCUUGACUUUCUCCAAUUCUGUAGGUUGCGUAGCAAGUAUCACAACACUUUAGGAAUUGGUAUAGGUUGCUCCGCACUUGGCAGAGGUGAAGCCUAUCGACUACGUAGCAUGUCGGCAGUGGAUAAAACUUCCAUAUAUGCGCGCUAGCUUGUUUAACCUUUCACAAGAAUGUGCGGUUGUAUAAGUCUAGCACGGUUUUACUGCUUGAAGGGCAAGCCGUAGGCAGUCUUCCGGAAUCCGUAGGCUACCUUAAUGUACUCGGUAGCAGCUUUAGGGUUCCAGGGCAGCCGUCUAUAGAGCGUACUGCGUAAUGUGCCCCAUCCGUCUCUAGCUCCCGGUUCCCCACAGAUUAGACCAAGAGACCCAAAAUCCUUCAGUUAGUUAAGCCUUGAAAAAGACCAUUGUGGCUACUUCUAGGAAUCCCGGCUCAAGCCAUCGUACAUCUAGUUAUACUAGGGUAGCCAGGCUCAUCAGCGUCUGGAUAUUCGGAGUGUAAAGUUUAUCCUCCCGUCUUAGAGAGCUGACCCAUAUGAGUGUCGGGGAAUUGGUUUACCCUCUCACACUAGAGAGUAAUUAAUUUACCCUCUCGCACUGGAGAGCAAUUAGUUUACCCUCUCGCACUGGAGAGCAUGGUUGGUCCAUCGGGGGGCGCAAUUCCUGCGAUGAGUCCCUAAGAAGGGCGCAGUCUUCUUUUGAAGUGCAGGAAUGAUUAGUUGUUAUAAGCAUGUGAUCGAGUCAAGUUGUGAUUACUUCUAAAUUCCUCAUUGAAAAACGAGUGAAACGAACGAGAACUUAGCCGUAAGGUAGGAACUGCAUAACAACUGGAUAGUCCUCAACUUGUGUGGUGGUACCCAUCGAGCUUCUUGAGUCUUCGGGCUUUGAUGUAGUGGGAGGUUACACAUGGCACCUUUUCAGAUUGUAGGCGCUCUACUGCUUUUCGAACUUUUUUUUUGUUGUGUAAUUGCUCUUGCUGCCUACUCGGCUAAUCUUAUACAGACUUUCUCGGAUGAGAUUCAUCUUUUUGGAGCUUCUCUGCUGGCAGUGAUGAAGGCUUUUCUUAGGACUAGAUCUCUGGGCUGGAACUGCCAGAUUUUGGCCUUUUUGUUGUGGCUGGAAAAGAACCACUGCUGGUAAGUUGUAAUGCAGAUGAUAGUCUGCUCGCACUUCUCCUCUGCCAAAUUUAAGCUUGUGGCCAUCUCCUUUCGGUUGCUCGUCUUUUGGUGUUGCGAUGUGCCCAUAGACAUCCAGGGAGUUUGUCUGGCCAUUUUCUUUUCUUAUUGGUAGGGGAUUUCUUGUGGCAGUCGAGGAUCAUCUUAGUGGAUGUUUUGGCCAGCCUAUUGCCUUGAGGAUAUCUUGGCGUAGACAUGUGCUGCUUGAUGCCAUAUUUUUAGAAGAAUUUCGCCAAAUCUUUGCCCACGAAUUACGGGCCGUUGUUGGUGACGAUGGAUUAAGGUAUGCCAAAUCGGCAAAUGAUGCUCUUUCAUAUGAAGCGCUCUAUGUCCGUUUGAAUUGUGAUCGUCAUGGGCUCUGCUUCUACCUAUUUGGUGAAAUAGUUGGUUGCCACGAUCAUCAUGCAUUUGCCCUUAGUAGUCUGGCUGGUGAUUAGCUGGGAAUCAGAAUGAAUUGAAAGCUUUUUCACCACCAAGUCUUUUGUCACUCGAAGGCCUGCUAGUGGGGCUUUGUACUCUGCUUCGUUGUUAGGUGCUUUGACGCUUAGAGUGAUCGCUUACUCGAGCAUUGAACCGUCUGGGGUGGCAAGAACCACGGUUACUUAUAAGCCUUUGUAGUUGGAUGCGCCGUCGACAUGCAAAUGCCAGAAAUUUCCAUUGAGGGAGUAGGUAUGGCUAAAGUGUGCUCGGCUACCUUCGAAGCGUCGUUGGGCCGCUUUGUUACAUUGUCAAGGCUAGGUUUGAAGGCGCGGUAGAGAGUCGUGGAGCUGGGGCCAUGUUACAUGUAGCAGGAGAUGCUCAACUUCCGGUAUUAGGCCACUCUAGAGCUGAAUAAUGGAGCAAAGGUCGGCUAGGGUCGUAUGACGCGCAGCAGAAGGUAGUGCUCGACUGCUAGUACAUGUUGCUCUUACGUAGAAUCUUCUGAGGCGACGAGGACAAAACUUGCUUUUAAGUGUUCCUUCUAGUGUUCGUCUGCCCUUGGCGUGUCUUUUGGGCUGAGUUGUUGCGUUCGUCAGAAAACUUUGCAUCUGCCAGGGUUUACGUCUUUAUCAUCACGGGUUUGGAUUAGGCGGAAUAGUGCGUCAUGAUGAUGACUGCGUACAUUUGAAGGUAAAACUUAAGCUUUUGGGUUACAACAACUAUCACCAAAGUUAGCUUUUGAAUUUUUAAUAGCAUCGAGGAGAGCUUUUGAACUAUAAAAUACAUGUAGUUGGGCCCCCAACUCUUCUCGCAUGACGGUACAGCUUAUUUCUACUUUAGAUACCGUCAAACAUGCGAAUAAGUCCUCUGCUGCUUCUAGGGAGGUGAUGUUGGGUACUUCUUCAAGCCCUUGAAUGUGCAUUGGCGAGCCUCAUCCCAAAGUGCAUGCUUCUCUGCCAAAGAAAAAGAGUCUACCAGAGUUAGAUAUUCUUUCAUGAUCAAUUUUCUAAAUAGCGGUGGUCUGCUGGAAGGCCUUUUUGGAAGGCUGCUCUAGCUAUUGAGUCGCUGCAUCCGACUAUCAUUGCCUUCUCUGUUUUGAAUCUCUUCACAUAGUCACGAAGUGACUCCUUUGGGUUCUUUUUUACGUCAAACAAAUGGUCGGACUUCUUUUUGAUCGAGCAAUAAGAUGAAUAUUCUUUGGUGAAAACCAAAGAAAGUUCGUAGAAAUUCUAGAUAGAUUGUGGCGGCAGGGUGUAGAACCAAUCUUGUGCCUCGCCUUCAUAGUGGUGGCGAAUAUCUUGCACAUGAGAUCAUCGUUGUUUCGAUAAAGGAUCAUUGUGCUUCGGUAGCGCUUUAAGUGUCUCUUCGGGUCUUCAUCCCCUUUGAAAGAUAUGAAAUGUUGCAUACUGAACUCGCAUGGAGGCUCUGCCAGCUCGAUCUCAUCCGUGAAGGGUGACCUGCUUAUGUUGGUCAUGUUCCGUCGUAGUGCCUCGUCGGUGACCUUGUUGCGUUAGAAAUCAUGCAAUCGCUUGAUUAAAAGUCUCUCUACUUCUUCCUGAAUUUUCAUUUGUUAGGGUAGCAGAGCUCUCGGCUGCCCCUAGCCAUAACUUACUGGUCUAGGAUGCUCUUCCAUGUGUUUGGCUCGUAUACCGUGGAUGCAGUGUAUGUGGUGCGGUCCUAGUAGGUGAGCGAGUUCUUCGCAGGCUGCUAGUUGAACUUGAGCUGGAUUGAGUGACUACUUCUCUCCGUCCGUCGUGCUGCCUACUCCAAUGUGAGGUGAAAGAUGCUCCUUGCAGGCUUAGCCACGAAUGAACACUUUACCUGGAAGGUUGCUCAUGUUGACUAUCAGAGUAUGACCCUAACCGUGAAUGUAUAUUCACCCGUGGGCUUAGUCGAGAGUGCACGCUCCUCCGCGCGCUAAGACGAGAGUAUACGUUAUCUCGGGAGCCCAAUUGGGAGUGUACACUGCCCGAACGCUCGGCUCGUGGCUGGUCGAGUGGCUGCUUGCCGAAACGCUGCGGGAAAGGUUCGUCUGCCCUUGUCCUACUUCGGGAUACCUUGUUUGGGGCACGUUGGAUUCUGGUGCAUUGCAAAAGUUGAUUCACCAAGGUUGUCUGUUGUGCAAGGGUGCUCGUAAACGCUACGACUUGUCGAGACAAGUGUUGUUCGUCAUUUGGAUUGGAAUAGCUUGGAAGGAAUGUGCCUUCUUGGGCAGUGGAAGGGUGGUAGACUCCGGGCUCGAGAUUUGAGUUGGGAAAUGUCAAAUCUACGAAAAAAUGUGGUGAGAAUGCCCCCGGCUCGAUGGUAGGUCCGGAUGGUUGAGAUAGUCUUGGGCCGACUUGGGCUGCUUGGAAAGCCACGGGAGCAGGCUGGGCCACGAGAGUGAGCUGCUCGGCAGGAGUAGGCUGGGCUACGAGAGUGGGCUGCUCGGCAGGAGCAAACUGCUUGGAGUGUGAUGCACAUGGGUGCGAGGCUUGGGCUCGGCUUGGUAACACAUUGAGUUCGGGUUUGGCUUGGAGUGACAUGACUUGGGCCGUGGCCUUGGUGUCGUGAGCCUUGGAUGGCACGGCUCGGGCAGUGGUAGCUGUGCCAUGGACCUCGCCGCGGGUAGUGGUGACCGUGAUGGCCACCGCGGUGGUUGCCAUGGUGGAGCCCCGUAGUGAUGGUGCCGCUCCUAUGAUCACAUUUAGCCUCGUGGAUCGUCGUGGUCCCAUUUCUUGAAUAUUAGAAUUUUCACUUAUGGAAUUUUCUAAAUUUCUAGCCAUUAUAUUUUUCUUAUACGUUUUAUCAAAGAACCUUUGCAAAUAAAAAAUUCUAAUAAUAAGAACGUAUGAAAAAAUAUUCAAAUGGACUAGAAAAUAGAGAAAAACCUUUUUAUGCGAGAGUCUUCUACGAGUAUAGAUCUCAACUCUCAAUGAAAGCACCAAUUUGUGGAUGCAAAUUUCUUCCUCCUUGAUCCUAGACAAUUUUGCACCUACAAAACAAUUAACACCUUAGGUUAAGGCCAAGAGCCUCACACGCCCACGAUGAAUGGGGGGGCUUUGGCCGAAGAACCUCUGAUGCCAAAGUUAGAAUUUAGAGAGAUAGAGUGUUCAGAGAAUUUUGAGAUUUUUGCCAAAGUGUUGGAAUGGAUUUUUGGUGAGAAUGGGAUCACUUUUAUAGGGAUAGGAAGUGGCCGGCCUAGCUAGGGUUUUUGGGUUUAAUUUAGGUUUAAUUAGUCAAUUUAUUUGGCUAAUUAAACCCUAAAGAAUAAAUUGGUGGUUACAAAAUUGAUUAUUUGUAUAAAUGGGGUAAUAAAAUGGAGAAAGGUGAAAAAGGUUAGGAAAAGGGAGGUGGCCGGCUUCUUAGUGGUUUUAGGUGUGAGUGGGUGUUUUAAUUGAUAAUUAAGGGAUUCAUUAGGUAAUUAAUCAAUUUUUAGGGAAUAUGAAAGGAAAAUAUUAUUUAGCUAAUUGAUUAGCUAAAUAAUGGAAUACAAAAUAUAUAGAACAAAUUAGGUAUUAGGAAUUACCUUAUAGAAAGGAUUUGAUGAAAUAAGCUUUAAAUUGUUACCUAUUUUGGGCACUUUUGACUUGGUUGAGGAUGAUUGUCUGCCGCUCACGCGUAGGAAUCUCGAUAUGCCUCAAGGGUAUUUUUGUUCUCUUUUACCCAAAAAUCCACGUGUCGCCUUGUGAUUAUUUUGGCUCCACAACAACCACGUCAGCAUUUAACAGACCAAUGGAUGGAAAAUCUAACGGAGGUAUUAUUUUGAAAUAAAAUAACAAGUGAGGUAUGAAAGUGAAAUGUUUUAAAGAUGUUGUAUGGGGUUGUAAUAGACCUCAAACUUGAGGGUCCUAUGUAAUUUACCUAUUUUUAUGUUAAUUAUGAAUAGGUCAAUCAUGUAGAACCAAAUUAAAAGCUAACAUCAAUAACAACUACCAGAGACAAAAGCUCUAAUCAAUGCUUCGGAAACAUAGUCUUGUAUCUCUAGGUGUAAUGAUAUAAUUUGUUGGAAACUUAAAAGAAAAUUGGUGAUUUUGUAUAUAAUCGAUAAAAAGUUAUAAUAGUGACAAUAUAUCAGUAAUAUUUAUGUUAAUUAGGAAUAGGUCAAUCAUGUAUUUAAUACUUACAUGCAUUUAAAAUAAACACCUUAUCAAUGUUUUUUUAACUGUGCUCAGUUUUUCUCCUUCGCUUUGGUUUUGUUCUAUUGGAUUUUUCAACUAUCAUUAAUUGUGAACAUAACUGAUCAUUGAGACACAAACAUCCAAGGGAGAGUACCGUGGAACAAAAUGUGGAUAUCUUUAUACAUUGUAUGGUAGUAAACCAUCAUAAACACCAUAAUAAUGUAGAAACGCUCUUGGGGUACCUUUGGAUGAUAACUCAUGUAUUUGUUGCCCUACGUAAAGAUGGCUAAUGAUAAUGGAAGUCUAAUUUUCUCAUCCCAAUCUCUCCUGUCUCUCUUGUUCUCUUUUCUCUAUAGUUUAUUUCCAACAAGUUGUGUUAUUUUUUUUUUUUAGUAUUGUUAAGCAACCAAUAGAUUUUAAUUAGCAGUCUUUGUUUUUUUCUUUUAUAUUUUUAAUCAAUUUCAGUUGCUUAUCCGUUCUAGCAAAUUGAGCUCUUUUACAGCAAUUUUUUUCUUUAAAUGAAAUUAUUAUUAUUAAAAGAGUGAGAAAAUUCGAAAUUAUUACAACAAUUUAAAAAAAAGAAGUUUCGAAUCAUAAACACAGAGGGAGUUUACAACAUUUUAAUUAAGAAAUUAGGCUUCAGCUCAACUCAUCUUUGCAACGUCGGUUCCACUUCACAUCAACAUGCAAUGUUUCAGAAGGUCACGCGGUUUUGGGGUUGUUGUGUACCAAUAAUAUUAUAUAUAUAUAAAUUAGGAUUGAAGGAUACACGCAUUUUGUAGAGCUUAUUUUGUUAUGUAUUUUAAUGAUUUAAAUGCUUACGUUUUUCUUCACUACAAAUGAGUGAAUUAAUGAUUUUAGAAUUUGUCUAAUUUUUUACAUUGAUUAUUUAUGAAUAUUGAAUUGAAAUAUAGACGAUUCAAAAAUCGUUGAUAUACAUUACAAAAUGAACUCCACAAAAUAAGCGUCAAAAUAUGUAUAUAAAAUGGACAGCGUGAAAGGCUUGGAAAUUGGAAUAGGUUUGAAAAUUGUGCUUUUUGUAGCAAAUUGUAGCAAAGUUUGCUUGGACUUUCACAACCGUAUAAAUUAUGCCGCAGCACUCUCUAUUUUCUCUCUCGCUCUAUAUCGUGGUCCCUCUCUCUCGCCGUCCUCGAUUGCUCGAACUCACUAUCCUUUAUUGCUCGAACUCACCGUCCUCAAUUGCUCGAACCCACUGUCCUUUAUUGCUCGAACUCACUGUCUCCAACUUCCUCUGUUUGGUUCCCGAUGAAGAUGGUAAAACAGUAGGGGCAAGAAAUUAUGACAAUGUUAGAUUUGCAUAUUAAUCUGGUAGGGCUACAAUUCUCCAAUCCACACCCCUUCCAUCUAUGCUAGUGUUUGUACCCAAUAUUAGAUAUCCGGUCUGUGCAAUCGAGAUCGUUGAAUGAGAAAAAUUCUAAGCCGUGGGAUCAAAUAUAAUGAUGUGGAUUAAAUAAGAAAAAUUUAAAUGUUUAUCUUGGUUGAAUUACCAUGAUAAUAUUGUGGAAUUAUCUUCUGCAUAACGGGAUAGCGAGAAAAGUCCAAGGGUGUAGGGAAGUUGUGUGGCUGACUACCGCUUUUUUUUAUGGUGUCAUUAGUAGAGUAAUAUCACACUUAACAUUUAUUUGUACCAUCUCUCUAAUAAAGAUAAAGACCAUCAAUGCAUAAAUAAUGAUACAAAUAUAUAAUAAGAGUAUCAUAUUUGUAACUAGAAUAGGAGAAGAAAGACUUCAAGAUGGGGUCAGCCAAAUAAUUAGCGUCAGGAUAAAAAUAUGAGUAAUGAUAUUUGUAAACAUCGAAAUUUCGGUAAAUAAAUGUUGACCGAUAAAUCAAAGUUUCAACGCUCAUGUAUUACAUAAAUUUUACACGUAGCGUAUGUCUAAACAAAAAAUCGAAAUAAGUUGGAAAAGUCAUCAAACAGGACACAUGUCAACACCUGGCAGAAACGACUUAUUUCAUCUGGAAUAUUAUAUUCAAAAUUAGGCAUUGGAAAAUUCUAUAAAUAGAAGCCAAUUUCAUUCAUUUGAAGGAACCAAAAUCAUUAGGCAAAAUUCUUGAAGCUCUGAAGCUCUGAAACUCCGAAACUCUCAAGCAUCCAGGUUCCCGAAGAAUCAAGAAAGCUCUCUUCGUUCUUCGUUCUUCGUUCAUCGUUCAUCCUAAGAUCAAGCUCCAACGGCCCUUUAGAUCAACAAUCAUCCACUAAUUCAAGAUCAAGCCCCGACGGCCCUUGAAGAAAGUGUUCUUCAUUCUUCGUUCAUCGUUCUUCCAAGAUCAAGCCCCAACGGCCCUUUGGAUUAACAAUCAUCCACCAAUUCAAGAUCAAGCCCCAACGGCCCUUGAAGAAAGUGUUCUUCGUUCUUCGUUCAUCGUUCUUCCAAGAUCAAGCCCCAACGGCCCUUUGGAUUAACAAUCAUCCACCAAUUCAAGAUCAAGCCCCAACGGCCCUUGAAGAAAGUGUUCUUCGUUCUUCGUUCAUCGUUCUUCCAAGAUCAAGCCCCGACGGCCCUUGGAUCAACAAUCCACCAAUUCAAGAUCAAGCCCCAAAGACCCUUGAAGAACUUCUACCAAUUCAAGAUCAAGCCCUGACGGCCCUUGAAGAAAGUGUUCAUUGUUCAUCAUCCGUUCAUCCCGAAGAAUCAAGAAAGCCUUAUUCGUUCUUCGUUCAUCGUUCUUCCAAGAUCAAGCCCCGACGGCCCUUGGGUCAACAUCAUCAACAAAUCCACACAUCCAACCGUUCUUCAAGAUCAAGCCCAAAAGCCCUUGAAGAUCCGUUCAUCACCGUUAUUCAAGAUCAAGCCUUAACGGCCCUUGAAGAAACACUCAUCCUCAAGAUCAAGCCCCAACGGCUCCUUGAAGAUCCGCUCAAAUCCACCUUCAAAGAUCAAGCCCACGGCCCCUUGAAGAAACAUCCAACAGUUCAUCCAAGAUCAAGCCUCGACGGCCCUUGGAUCAACGAAACAUCUACAAAUCAACACCUUACGGAGAUCGAAUCAGAUGAUCAAAUUAGAGAGAGAUUGUAACCCUAAAUCAUCAAAAUACAAAUAUUAUUUUGUGCACGUUGUUCUUAUCUCUUUCGUUUCAGGAAAUUUUCGUGUUCACAAUAUUCUUACCAUCUAAAUAUACUAUAAUUUUAUACCAUCUUAUGUGGCAAUUGAGAUGGACUUCCACAUAAGUUUUAAAAAAAUCUCAUGUCAGCUAAGGUGGAUAUUUACGAUUUUACGAUUUUACUCAAUGAUUUUUAUUAAUAAAAUAAUUAAAAAAUAAUAAUGAAACCUACUUGCUCCCGUUUUCAAGCCUCAUCGCUGGGCCUCCUCCCUCUUCGCUCUCCAAUUUCACCUUCCUUCACCAACGAUCGAUGGUGCUCGACCCCCUUCAUCAUUGCCAACUGGCCGAAUAUCUUGAUGGUGCUCCCAGUGAUUGUUUUGCUCUGCCACCAAAUCAAGUUUGCAAUUUUAAUGGUUUAUGCCUUCUGGCCAAGUGUUGGAUUUGAUAGGUUUUUAAUUCCAGCAACAUUGAACAAAAAUAUGAAAAGGAUUGGAUACGAUAUUUUCCUCUGUUCUACUGCUGAGGAUUUUCCGAAUAGAAGAAGAUUUGGAAGACAACCUCUUUUCUUUUUUCUUCAUGGACUUUUGGUUAGCACCAAAAUCUUUUCCUAAUCCUCUAUAGGAAUGAAAAUUUCAUUCCAUGUUAUAUCCCGAUGUUGUCCAAGGUUUUGGCUUGAAUUUUCAUUGGAAUUAUCAUAUGUUGGAUCAGAUCAGGUGGAGAGAUGAAACGUAUCUAACAAGGAAGUUGAACGGGUAGGGUUUGAGCAAAAAUAAACAGAAAUUCCACCUAGGUUGACACCUAAGCUUCCACAUCAUGUGGUAUACUAAAUGUGGUAUAAUAAGAUGGUAAGAAUAGCAUUAUUGAAUGGGUAAUGUUAAGAGAAAUUUUUAGUUGUGACGGGAACACGGAUGGUACACCAUGCGUUUUUAUGUAAAUGGUGGAAAAUUUUAAUUUUUAAAUUAUUAACCUUUUAGCACACAUAUCCCACCAUUUAUAUGAAAACACGUGAUGUAUCACCUCGUGUGAUAGUCACAUUGAAAAAUCUCUCGUAAUGUUAGGAAAACUAAAUUUAUAAACAAAAGUUACAAAUUAAAUGAUGGGUUACCAAUAAGAAUGAUUACGUUUAUCAAUGCUUAAAUAAUAAAUCAUUCAUCAACUUCCAGUCCUUUAGUUUUUAAAAUUUUGUCUAACAUUACCCUUUCAAAACUCAUGAAAAUAAUUUUCAAUUUUUUUAACUGAAAAGUGAAAGUUACUAAACAAGAUUUCAGUUUUUAGCUUUCAAAAAAAUAAAAACAAAAGCUAAAAAUAAAAUGGUUAUCAAACAUCCCUAGAAGUCAUUCUUAGUGAUAGUAAGGUCAUCUCCAACCGAAAGAUCCAGGGGGCUAGAGGGCCGAAAAUAGUCUGAAAACCAUUUCCAAUCAAAGGCCAUGCCAAAGGGGUCGUGGACCCCAUUAGACAAAAAAGGGCCAAAGGGCCAACUGGCUGGCCCCAGUUCCAACAAUAACUAGAUGACGUCAGUUAACCGUUAUUUUUGAAUUUUUUUUUUAACAAAUUUUAACUUUCUAAGCCAUUAAACAACAUUAAAUUAAGUAAAAAAGAAAAUUCCUAUAACUUCCUAAGUCAUUAAACAAUAUUAAAUUAAGUAACAUGAAACAACAUUAAACAAUAUUAAACAAAAUUAAACAAUAUUAAACAACAUUAAAUAACAUUUAACAACAUAAAAAUUAUACAACAUAAAAAAAAACAUUUAAGAACAUAAAAUUUAAAUGCCUACUUCAUGCUUCUUUUGGCCCAAAGAUGUGCAACAAGAUCCUAAUGUAGGUACUUGUUUGUGGCACGAGAGCGUAUCAUCCUAACCGUUAGAUUUGAUUUUUUUUUGUUUUCGGCCAAAUUUUUUUAAAUUUAAAAAUAAAUUAUGUUUGACCUUUUGGCCCUCGAUUGGAGAUAGUUUUUUUUGUGACAUGACUAUGUUUAGCCCUAUGACCCUUUGGCCCUCAGUUAGAGAUGGUAAGAAAUAUGACCCAACAAUGUUCAUUAAAAUAUUAAUUUCUUGAAGAGCCAGAGGGCUAAAACGAGCCAUCCUUCGGUUGGAGAUGGCCUAAGAAGAGACUAGAGAUAGAGAGAUUCCUAUACUUAGCUGUGAGAGUUUCCUAUAUAUGAUUUUCAUUAACAAGAUUGAACUGAUUACAUAGAGAAGAAGAUCAAGUAUGGUUAUUUUUAUUUGGGAGACUUUGGAUGUGGUCCUUAGUUAUGAAUAUUAUUUGAUUGAAAUCUUGUUGGUUUUUAAUUUUUUAUCAAGAUCCCUGAAAUUAAUGUGAUAAUUUAUUUCUAUGUAAGUUACUAUAUUUUUUUAAUUAGAAAUUAGAAAUUUUAGUUGUUUAUAUAAAUGAGAUUUUAAAUUAAAAAAACCAUAAUUUGUGGGAUUAAAAAUAUUAAAAUAUAAAUAUACUAUUGUGUGUGUGUGUGUGUGUGUGUGUGUAUAAAUAUGGGUACAUUCAUCAAAAUUAACCAAAAAAUUUAUUGUAUCAAAACAUGGGUACAUUCUUCAAAAUCACAAAAAAAGAAAGAUAUUAGGCUUAAUAACAUUAGUAAAUUUCUUCGAUUAAACUUGACAUGGAUACAUUUUAAAAUCAAAGAAAAAAAAUGUACCCAUAUAAGUUUAAAAAUGGAUUAGAAAAAAAAAUUGAAUAGAUUUUAUACAAAAAAAGGGUACGUUUUACAUAUAACAAAUUGGUAUAUUUAAGAAUGAGUACAUUUUAAGAUUAAAAAGUUUUACAUGAAUGGGUUCAUAUAAUUAGCAUGGGUACAUUUAGCAAAAUAAAAAGUACAAAUACAAAAAAAUAUAUGUGUACAAAUACAAAUAAACUUUAAAAAAUAUGGGCACAAAAAGAAAUUAAUAUAUGGGUACAAAUUAAAACCGAAAAGAAAAUUGGUACAAGUUAAAAAAGAAUUACAAAUUAAAAAUGGGUACAAACUAAAACUAAAAAUAUAUGAUAAAAAAUUUAGUCAUAAAUAUAAAUAUACUAAUUGUAACAUUUUUAACAUUAAAUGAAUAUAUUUAGACAUAAAAAAUAUAUUUUAUUAUUGAAAUAAUUAAUGAUGUUAUUAAUACCCAAGGACCUUGAUAAAAAAUUGAAAAGAAAUAGAAUUUUAAUCAAUGGAGUAGCAAAAGAAAAGAUGAGAACCUAAUUUCUCCUUUGUAUUGUGUAGACAUUAUAACUAUACAUUCAUAAUAACAUGAGUAAUGUUAUAUUUAUCACAUUUGUACUCUUUCUCCAAUAAAGAUAGGGUCCAUCAACACAUGUGGGUUCUAUUUGCCCAUCAACACAUGCGAAUCUCAUUUUUAUUAGAAAAAUAGUACAAAUAUGAUAUGGAAAUUAUGAUAAGAUCGCAAUUUUGUAAUAACAUAUAUACUCAACUAUUUAUAUACCAACUCAUCUCCCUUUAGUGUAGUUAAUAUUGUUUGUUCAACCAAAAAAAAAAAAACUGAACUUGUCAUAAUCAUUGAAUCCAUUUACCAUGAACAAACGGCAGUUUACUAAACUUGCCCUCAGAGUAUAUAUAAAAGGUGAAUCACAAUCUAUUGCAUUAAUAUAAGGAAACAAUUUAUAGGGUUUGACGGGUGACUUAAUAUGCUAUAUGGCACAAUGAAAAUUAAGUUCACACUUUAUCCCAAAUAAGGUGUUGCACCUUUAAUUUAUGGAUGCUGGUUUGACGUGUGACCGAAAUAAUCAAAUUGUAGCCAUUAAUCAUUUUACAAGUAAUAAUAUGUGGUUUUAUUGUUUACGAUUCACACAACAAUCUGCUAGGAAGUAGAAAAUGCAGUACUUGUCCCUCUCACAGAAGUCAUGAAUAAUUAUCAAAUUCAAAGAUAAAGAAAAACCACACAAUUUACAAGAGGAAAGAAAAUGAAGGGAUAAAGAAAGUAAGAAAGGAAUACCUCUAUGGGAGGACUCUUAUUUGCUUCAGAUGCCUACAAUAUUCAUCAUAUAAACACUGAUUAAGUAGUCAUCGAAAACCAAAACAAAUGUCGAACAUAGGGUGAAAAACAGAAAGAAUAACCGCAGCUCAUCAUACCAAUAGAGAUAGAACUGCCCGAUGCCCAAGUAUGACUGAAAAAUGGCAAUCCAAACAUGGCGCCUUCUAGCUCAUCAAACUGUCAAAACCUAGGUUCCACCAAAAAGAUACAAGUCACCUAGUUACUUGUAAAAUAAAAAUCUGUUUCAAAAUAGUGGAAAAUAUUAUUAACAUUGUUCAAAGUCCACAUUGUUGUACCUACCAAGAAACAAGAAGGAUUGUAUCUUAUCAUGAAAAAGAACAUAGGUACCUUUUCAAUUGUAAUUGUACAAAAAUGAGAGACCACUUCCGAACUUCUCUUGGAACUUCAAUCAAUUUCUGCCCACUUUUAAAUGCCUUGACAUACUUAAGCCUAUUUCUUUGAGCUUCAGUUUUGGCUUCUGAUGCCUUUAAAUUUCUUAAAGAUUCUUACCAAGUUUUACAAACUCACUUCUAUACAACCAUUUGUCAGUAUACAUACCAUUUUCUUUGAGCUUCAGUCUUUGCAACACCAAAACCCCCCAAAUAGACCCGGAAUUUUGCAAUGUGCAGGGAAUAUACAAAAAAAACCCUCCUAUCCAUCUAAAACGAAAUCAGAACGCAAACCACAAUCAAAAUCCGUAAAAUUAAUUUAGCCAACCCCUAAAUCUAAUAAUUCUAACAAAUAUUAUAGUAUCAAUUGAGAGAGAAUUUGAGAAGAUACCUAGAGAUGAAAGGAAGAGCGUUUCCUCUGAUAGGGGUUCCGUGAAAGCAUCUGUUGACCAGAAAAGAAAAGGCAAAAAACCCCAAAUUACAUAUCAAGCAAUUAUAGAUAGAUCGAACCUUGAAAAUUGAAAUUUCAAACAAGAGAAAGGUUAUAAACUUACAACGAUCUGGGUGUUGGUAACUGGGUUUGGAUUUGGGUUUCUGAUAAGAGAGAGAAUCGUAUGAGGAACCGAUAGAGGAACUGCACCGGCAACAGAGAGCAAUUGAUAUGGUGGAGAACAGACGAGAAUAGCUGCUUGGAUGGUCAAUCCAAGAAGAGAAAAUCUUGCCACAAUCGCGGUACUUGAAAAAAAAAAAAACAAGUUUAAAGGAGGGAAACAAUCGCGCCUUUUUCUAAUAGACUCUGUCGACGAUAUUCUUGACAAAUAGAUGCUUCGUCGGGUGAGCUUAUUUUUCACAACAUUUUAUUUAGGAUUGGGUUCGGUUGGUAAACCGUGUCAAAUUUCUUGUGCCACUUGCCAGCCACAUAUACAUAAUUACCGAAAAUCAGUUACCGUUAGCCAACCGUCUUCUUGCGGUUGCCAAAAAUCGGUUCAGCCAAAAUGAUUGGCUGGUUCGGUUGGUAAAUGGCACAACCGGUGGUUUCCACUUCUUCCUCGCUAUCUUCCAGUUCCAAGGGCUCAAUUUGAUUUUCAGAUUGGGAUGCUUGUUCGGUUGCAUUGUGUGGUUCAUUUUGGGUUAAUCCAUGUUGUGCACUAGUAGUUGAUUGGCUAGACUCCAUUAUCCUAAACAUAAGCAACAAAUAUACAUUCAAAAUAAUAUAUAUGUACGUGUAUAUAUAGUAUCAGUAAUCAUCAUGCUAUCAAUUUUGUUAACAAUAUUUUCUAUAUAUUGAUUUUGGCAUGAAUCAUAUACACAUACAUAUAUUUUUAAAACCCUAAAACUAAGGAGUCAUUUAUUUUCUAAACUCUAAAAUUGAGGAGUCAAGCAUGUAAAAAAAUACUUAAAAUAUCUAAAUAGAAAAAGAAAAAGAAAAAAAAAUAAAUAUAUAUAUAUAUCGGUAGGUAUGGCAUACCGCCGGCAUACAAAAUCAAUUACCAAAGCCAUGCCAUUAAUUGUCGGUUCGGUAAAAUGCCAACCGAUUAUGAAAAAAUGUCAAAACUAUACCAUACCAUUUUGAGCCAACCAGUAUGGUUUGGUCAGUAAAUCGGUUUAUGGCAAAAUUUCUCACCCCUAAUUUUAUUUGUCACCUUAAACCUAUUGGUUUCUAGCCUACAAUUCGGAUAUUUUGUUGGGGAAAGAUUUUUGUACCAAUAAAAUUUUGCUUUGUCGGCAAAAUGACAUUUUCUAGUAGUUAUAAUAUUAGGUAGAUCAAAUUUGUAAACUAUGUGAUGUGUCACUAAUAGGAAAAAAUUUCAGUGUGCUGAAAAUACGGUCUAGAACACCAAGUGUCAUAAUAUAUACUUGGUUGGAAAUCUUUUAUUUUCAAGUUUCCAACUAGUUGUAUUGUAACAGUUGGUGUUCCAAGCUAUUUUCUCCAUGCGCUGGAAAAUCUCUUCACUAAUUAAAAAUAAACAUAUUAAUUAACACUUAAGUAAUAAUCAAAGCAUCAACAACUACGUCAUAGAAUUUACGAAAUAUGAUCUUAAUUAAUGAUCUCCAUUACCCUUUAUCUUAGCGUAUACGUACGCCUUCACAUGUUUAUUUGCUGAUAUGCAGCUUGAGUAAAAAUUUCUUUUUAAGAACAUAUAUGUGAAUAUAAACAUAUAUAUCUAGUGAUCCAUGUUGCGUUAUUUAAAAAUAAACAAAUUAAUUAAUUAAUGAACUGUGUACCUGUCUGUGUAGAGUAAUCCAUAUGCAUGCUUGAAUCCUGAUCACCACGAAACCAUAAUAUAAGCUACUCAAGGCCCGGAAGCUAGGAUUGAAGAGAAAAACACCCAGUCAGAUUAAGCCAAUACAUCAAAGUUAAUACUUCCAAAUGUAAGCUUUAAGAUAGAAAAAUCACUUACUUCCUUGAGCAGUCGAGCUUCUUCAAUGGCAUGAAGCUUUUAGCAUGAGAUUGACUGCAUCACAACUAAAAUUUUCUCUUGGAAACUACAUAAGGAAUAGCAUGUAUACCUAUAACGUUGAGAAAGUACGCCAAUUUUUUCCUUCUGCACAUUCAUGUUUAAAAGUAAUCCUCAAAUGAACUUGCCCACAAUGAAAUGCAAUUUGAGGUAGUCGAGUGUGUUCCAUUUCCAUCCCAUCGGAAUUACUACUAAACUUUGAGAUGGUAGAGGAUUCAUGAAAUUUUUUACUUUUGAAAUAGUCUCCUUAGCAUUUCUCGACUAUAACAAUGAGGAAAUACUUCACCUUGUAUCAAACAAGGGAGACCGAAAAUCAACUACUAAUAGCAUCACAGAGCCAGCAGAAGAUUGAGGAGGCCAUGAAAAGGAAAGAGAAAAUACACUCUUUUUUUGUAAGGACAGAGAUAAUACAUUCAAUAAAGGGUACUGAUGUUUAUAUGCAAAGCUGAUUAGGUUUAAAUAGUCGUAUUUAUUCUGUACAGUGCCAAUAUUACCACCCGUUAGUACACUUUCAAGACACUGUAAUCCAGUGUAUGCACUAUGCAGUACGUAGUACUCCUCAUUUUUUUGGGGAAAUUCAUUAUUGGUCUUCAUAUCUUCUUUAUUUUCCUUGUCCUCAUUGUGCCACGUGUUUAAAUCACUAAUUAUAGGUAAUCUUUCAAUUUAAUUAAAUCUUAUGUAAAAAAAGAUAAUUAAAUAUCAUUUAGUAUUACAAUAUAGUGAUAUUCCUCUUUAGUAUAAAAUUUUUAUAAUUAAAAGCGUUCAGCUUUUUAAUCUUCAUUGGAAUAUUAUCUAUAAAGAAAAAUUAUUCGAAUCAGAGAUCAUUUAUGCAUUCAAAUGUAUAAAAUACAUCGACAGUGUGAGAACCAACUAAUAUAUUUUUGAUGAAGUACAAUUAUUGAAUACAUUUGAACGAUCAAAUGAUAUAUGAUUCAAAAUACAUAUUAAGAUAAUAAAUAUAAAAGAAUUGUUAUUUGCACUUCAAGAAUCUCAUUCUACACUCUAAAUUUUCUAUAUAUUAAAAGAAAAAUAAAUUUGUGAAAAGUGUAGAAUGAGGUUUUUUUAAAUGCUAAUAACACUUCUCUAAAUACAAUUAUGAAAUUAAUUAAGUAAAGAUACAUGACCUCGUGAAUGAUGAAUGUAUUAUUCAAAAAAAUAUUAAAAACAAAUUGAAAAAGGACGCUGUUGUUGCCACCACUUAUGCAAUGAUCGUCGCUGCCAUCACCAACCCCCAACACCCCAUUACAGCUCAUAAAAGCACAUCAUAAGCAAUUUAUGAAAUAAAUUUACUGGAAUACUAAUUUCCCCCUUAGUUUAGGUCACCAAUGUUUAAAUUUAGGGAUCGUGAUAUCCACACACAUUUUUUACUUCUUUCACACUUUUUUUUUCGGUUGUCGGAUCAGAUGAAUUGAAGAAAAUCAAUGAACAGAAAUUAACAAGGGGUGUGUGAGAAGUAAAAAUGAAUGUGUGGAUAACACACCCCUAAAUUUAUCACAACUUUCAUUCCAAAUUUAAUUUUUAUCCGUAGUUUUGUUUGUUCAAAUUUACUUUGACAUUUCCAUUAGUAUUAAAAUCUAAUUUAAAUUUUAGUGUUCAAGCUAGAAAAAGUGUUCCAUUUAAUAUUUAAUCUCAGUUUUUCUCUUUAUUCUUUUAUUGGGAUUUGGUUGCAUCGUAUCUCCAUUUUUCUCGGUGUUGUAUGUUCAUAAGGCCUGUGAAACGUUGGCACGGAGUGAAGGGUACUCACUUUUUGGCCCAAAAUGCAUAAGGCAUGUAGAUAUGUUAAUCAAAUUUUGUAAACUAAAGGAUAUAGAAGUUGAUAAUUAGAUUAUAAUUUAAGAUAAUACUAAGGAGACUAAAUUUGCAAACUAAAUGAUGUGUCACCAAUAAAAAUAAGCACGUUUAUCAACAAUUAAGUAAUAAAUCAAUCAUCAACUUUCAUGUCCUUUAGUUUCCAAGAUUUAAUAUACAAAUUUAGUCUCCCAAGCAUUACUCUAUUACUUAAGUAUUGAUUAACAGACUUAUUUCUUAUGGUGACACAUUAUUUAGUUUACAAUUUUAGUCUACCCAACAUUACUCUUUUGAAAUUGUCUUGUCCACUGAUAUAAUUCUAUUUUUCUUGUGAUCAAAACUUCAAAUGUUAGCAAGUCGCACGUAAAGUCGCUUAUGAGAGAAUGUGCUCACAUUGUAGUUGAAAGAUUAUGUGGCUAGCAACAUUACAAAUUUAAUUUGGUAUAAUUCUAAAAUAUAGAUUGAGGAAAAAAUGAUCACAUUAACUAGAAACUGAAAAGGUUUCAGCACAGUUUGUUCAAGCAAGAAAUUCAAUUUUGAUGCUACCGAUCUUAACAGCCUGAGCGCCGUACCUGGGCACCAAAGUCACCACCACACUCUCAUCAUCUUCAGCACCCAAAUCCUCCAACAGGUCCGUUAACCCCAACCUUAAACAACUCUUGCUCUUUUCCUUCUGCUUAUGUGGCACACUCACAAAACUCCCAGCAAACUCGCUCUUGUCGGGUCCACUCGGUGCCGCAUCCUCAUCGUCCACGUCAUUCACAUACACACAUCAAACUUCACAGCCACAUCUUUGUCAAGCUCAAUCCCCUGAAUCACCAAUAUCUCCUCCUCAUCCUCUUUCUCCUUCUUGCUCCUCUUCUUCGGCUUCGGCCUUGACACCACCGUACUUAUCUUCGUCUCCAAAUUUAUUGGAAAAUCUUUACCCGCCACCACCUUCCCUGAUGACGUCGUCUCAGUGGCCUUCGCCACUCCAGCCGCCUUUGCCUUUCUCGCAAGCUUUGUCCGACGUGGCGUCGGUCUAGACUUGAGCCAUGGAAUCUCAACAUCUUCAUACGUAUACCCUAGCUUUUUAUUAUCAAGAGUGUCCCUCACCGUGACCCUAACAAGCUCAGCAUUCUCGUCAUAAAACAAAAACCCCGUAUCCAACCAAUCCUUAUCGUUAAUAUCGUUAUUUUUAGUCCCUAUACUUUUCCAAAUAUUCCACAUUCGAUCUAUAUUCGAAUGGUGCGAAAAAAAUAUUGGAUCCCUUGCAGCGGAGUAAAAAUUCCCCAUGUCUUCAAAAUUAGGCUGCGUGUUAUCUCCGGUCCAUAAAUGAACCGGACCAUGUGGGGUCGUUUCGAUUGAACCGCCCCCUGGAUCUGGUUCAGUGUCAGCCCUGUAGGGCGAACCAAAGAACAACAGCGGUUUCUUGGAGUUGGAAACCAUCUGCCUAUACAUGAUUUUGAGGUUGGCGUCGAUUUGAGCAUCCUUGGACAUUGUUUCAUCCGUGCCGUUGAAGUCAAGAUCGAUGAGAGUCGGCGGCUGAUGGCUGGCAGCGCGGAGCUCGUCGUAAAGCGGAGAGUCCGGGUUAGCGAACAAGGCAGGGAGUUGCAUGCCAGCUGGCGCGUCCCAGUUCCAAAACGGCAACGCGAACGUCGGAUCGUCUAUGAGUUUGGCCAAGAUUCUUUCGUAGAAGUAUACGUAGUAACGAUGGAAGGGGAAGAAAAGCCAGCAUUGAUGGAUUUGGAGCUCGAGGUUGGGGAAGCCGACUUGGUCGUACGCGCCGUCGCAAUAGGCACAGUGGAGAUCGGCUUGCUGGGUGAAGCUACGCGGAUCGUCGUCCGGGAGGGCUUUCAUGAGCUCGAUGGCUUUUGAAUAUUUUUCGAUGUAGGCUUUAUCCACGGUGUGAGCUGCCGGCCUGACGCGGAGUUUGGUAGGGGAGGGGAAUUUGAAGUCUACGAUUUUUUGGGACGUUGGCGGGCAACAGUUGAUCGGGACUGCUCCACUUGGAAAGUCCGCAGCUCCGCAUUUGGCUAGGUCAGGCGGCAACACUGGCUUUGCAACAGCGAAGGGGUCGCUGCCAAGACCAGCCACUCCGGCUUUGCAACAGCGAAGGGGUCGCUGCCAAGACCAGCCACUCCACCGUAGAGGCUUCCGAGACCUAUAAGAAGAUAGAAUUCAGUUCUUGGCAGUAGAGGACUCUAUUGCAGGGAAAAACUGAUUUGAAUUAGGAAGGCUUAAGUAGUUUUCCAUAAGGAUUUUAAUAGGGAAUCCAUAUUCUAAUAUGAGAAGGAUAUGUGUGUACAUAUAUAUAUAUAUAUAUGGCAAUCUCUUCUCUCACAGGUGUGUGCUCUUUUGGAACUAAGCCCUAUUCUUAGUUUGAGUGAUAAAUACCCUGACAGAGAGAAGAAGAAUUGAUGUGCUUUUCAGGUUGAUCGAGAUCCACCAUGACUGCAUCAAACGGGAGUUCUACAGGUUAGUAUAAUUAGGUUUUAUUUGGAUUGAUGUUUUGUGUCUACUUGGUUGUAGUUUAAGUAACUGAAUCUUGCAGCUAGAUUUUGGUUUACAUGUGGUAUCAGAGCCAUAGAUUCAUGUUCUUAAAUUCAAUCGAUAAAAUUGAUUGAAUCCAAAAUAAAAUUCCGAUCUUCAGACUUCGAAACAGGUUCUGGUAGUUAAAAUUAGGAAAAGAAGAAACGGUGCGUUUUGAUUAAAAUAUGAUGAUUAAUACUUGACCGUUAAGAGCUAAUAAACUAUCUUCUCUUCCGAAUUGGGAAUACAAAUCGACAUCUAUCGAUUUCGAUUUCGGGGUUUGAAAAACUGGGUUAUAUGACAUCUAUCGAUUUCGAUUUCGAGGUUUGAAAAACUGGGUUAUAUGAAUUGUUAUUGAGUAUCCACAAUUUAUAUUAAUUGCUUCCGCUGCUGGGUGUUGAUGCUCAUAGAACAAACGGGUAUGUCUCCUGAACAUUGAAUUGAAAUUUGUUUUUUAAUCAAUCUUAUCUUGAAUUUCAUUAUGUUCUACAGCAUGAUUCGAAUAGUGAGCAUAAAAAUAUGCUUAUUUAUGCUGAUUAGUCCUAUGUUUAUGCGUUUUUCUCUAACCAUCUAUGGAAGGGAGUUCUUCGAUAAGAACCUCUGCAGAUUUCACUUGUUUUAUGCAGAAAGUUUUAUGAAGAACUGUUCAUUUGAUAAAGAUCUGCUAAAACUGUGUUCUUAAAUGGAAAAAUCUUUUAUUCUAUAUGUGCUUAUCAAUUCUUCAUUGUUAAGAUUAUAUAUAUGGAUAAAAGGUUUUGAUGAUAUGAUGUACAAAGGAUUGUGAGAUGAAAUCUGGAACUCUAAACGUUCUUCUGUGAUUCAUUGUGAUUUCAUUGUGCUACAGUGUCUGCAAUAUCAAUGAAGACUCUGAAUUUGGCUAACAUCCCAAUUCUUACUGGUGGGGGAAAUUACAAGAAGUGGAGAAGGGAAAUCAGUUUGCUGUUGACUCUAAACGAGUUUGAUAUAGCAAUCGAGAAUCCCAAACCCGUGGUCAAUGAUCAGAGCAGCACAAGGGCUGAAAAGGCAGAUUUUGAGAGAUGGACAAGGGCUAAUAAGGUAGCAUUGUCCAUCCUUGAGAGUGGCAUGACUGAUACAAUCAGAUGAGGAAUUAAGAAGCACGAUUUGGCUGCUGAUUACCUAAAAGCUAUUGAAAAGAAAUUUCAAGAAUCUGAAAAAGCUGAAGUGAGUCAGUAUAUGUCUUUAUUAACUACUUACAAGAUGGAGGGUACAAGCUCUAUAAGGGAUCACAUAAUGAAGAUGACAUAUGCUGCAGAAAGACUCAAUGCAAUGGAUAUAAACAUAGGUGAAAAGCAGUUAGUAUUCAUGAUUCUUCAAGCACUUCCCAGUAAAUAUAGUCAGUUGAAGAUCUCCUACAAUACUCAAGACAAAAACUGGGAUAUUGAUCAGUUGAUUGCACAGUGUGUGCAAGAAGAAACUCGUCAAAAACAAGAAAGAGGCAAAGAAGUUGAGGACAUCAACUUUGUGCAAACUAUAAAUGACAAAAAGCAGUUCAACAACAGAAGCUUUUCUGGUUCUGGUAAGAGUUCUAAGCCUUUUAAAACUUCUAAUAAGUUCAGUAAUUCUGCUAAAGUAGUUGACUCCCCUAGAAAAUCUAUCAAGUUUAAAGCUAAACCUAAAGAUGUGUCUAAAUUAAAAAUGUUUUUGGUGCAAAACUAAGGGCCAUUUAAAAGUUAACUGUGAAAUUUUCAAAGAUUAUGUAAAGAGCAAAGAAAAGGAACAAGUACUUGUCUGUAUUGAAUCAAAUUUGUGAAGUAUACCUGUUGAUUCUUGGUGGUUUUGAUAUACCGGAUGCUCAGUGCAUAUAACUAAUUCUUUAAAUGGUUUUCAAAAACAAAAGGAAUUUGGAAAUGCUACAUAUAAUGUUUUUGUUGGGGAAGGAACUAAAGUUGCAGUAGAGUCAAUUGGGAUAGUCAAAUUAGUCUUAUGUUCUGGUUAUGUUUUAGAGUUGAAAGAUGUGUGCUAUAUGUGCCUAAGAUGAGAAGAAACUUAAUUUCUGCCCUCUAAAAUUGUAAAAGAUGGUUUUUCUUUUCUUGGUGAUGAUGAGUGCCUCAAAAAUUUUCAAGAAAAACUGUCCUUGUCCUAACACUAUUUUAGGGACUGCUUUUUUGUCUGAUAAUUUAUGGAAUCUAAAUUGCACUGUUAAGGCACUCAAUCACACGAUUUUCAGCAUUAGUACUAAGAGAAUGAUAGGUCAGGAUACUUCAUACAUUUUAUGGCACAAAAGACUAGGACACAUCUCUAAAGAAAGGAUAAUUAAGCUGUAAAAAACUGACUUGAUUCCAAAAUUAGAUCUUUCUACUGCAACUGAAUGUGUUGACUGCCUAAAGGGUAAAAUGACCAAUUUUAGAAAAACAGAUGCCAAAAUGAGCCAGGGGUUACUUGAAAUCAUACACACUGAUAUCUGUGGUCCUUUUCCAGUUAAGACAAUAUGUGGAAACAAGUAUUUCAUUAAUUUCAUAGAUGAUUUUUCAAGGCUGGGAUAUACCUUUCUGAUUAAUGAAAAAGCUGAUGCCCUUAAGUGUUUUAUAAUUUACAAAACUGAGGUUGAAAAACAGUUAGGCAAGGUUAUUAAAAUUGUUAGAUCGGAUAGGGGAGGUGAAUACUUUGGCAGGUACACUGAAUCCGGGCAGCAAAAGGGACCAUUUGCUCUCUAUCUCGAGAAGAAUGGUAUUGUGGCGCAGUACACCACACCUGGAACGCCUCAACAGAAUGGUGUUUUUGAAAGAAGAAACAGGACUCUUAUUGGUAUGGUUAGAAGCAUGAUGUCCAGAUCAAAAUUGCCAGGAUUCUUGUGGGGAGAAGCUUUGAAAACAGCUAAUCAUAUAUUGAAUCGAGUUCCAAGCAAGGCAGUAUCUACCACACCCUAUGAGUUAUGGCAUGGGAGAGUUCCUAGUUUUACUUAUUUCCAUGUUUGGGGUUGUAAAGCAGAAGCUAAGUUAUAUAAUCCUAAUGAAAGAAAGCUGGAUUCAAGGACUCAGUCAUGUUAUUUUAUUGGCUAUCCUGAGAAAUCAAAAGGAUACAGGUUCUAUAUCCCUCAAGGUCACACUCGGAUCCAAGAGACACACAAUGCAGUUUUCCUAGAAGAUGAAGAUGUCUCUCAUUUGUCAAGGGAAAAUUUCAUAUUUGAAGAGAUGCAUUCAGAUGGUGGGGACCAUGUGACAAUGGAUUAUAAUAUCGGUCUCAUUGUUUCCCAAUCAAUCAUCAAUUGCCAUUGAAGAUAUGAGUGAAGAUUUAGGAGUUCCUGAUGACAACUCUGUAGGAGUUGAUUCCACAACAUAAGCUGCAACAAUUCCUUUUGCAGAAGCAUGUGAACCAGUUGCUGUUCCACCUCCAGUUGAAAUCAGAAGGUCACAAAGAGCUCGGAAAACCACUGCAAGCAAUGACUAUGUGUACUUAUAAGAGACUGAGUUCGAUAUUGGUGACAUUUGAUGAUCCUCUUACAUAUACUCAGGCAACUGAAAGUCCUCAAGCAGUUCUUUGGAACAAUGCAAUGAAGGAUGAGUUAGAUUCAAUGUCCAAAAACCAGGUUUGGACAUUGGUGGAAUCCAACUCUGAAAUUAGGCCAAUAGGCUGCAAGUGGGUAUAUAAAACCAAAAGGGAUGCUGCUGGAAGAAUUGAAAGAUAUAAAGCAAGGUUGGUUGCUAAGGGGUUUACUCAAACGGAGGGGAUCGACUAUAAUGAUACUUUCUCUCCAGUUUCCUCCAAAGACUCCAUGCGAGUUAUCAUGUCUUUAGCUGCCUACUUCGAUCUUGAAUUACAUCAAAUGGAUGUAAAAACCGCUUUUCUUAACGGAGACUUACAAGAGGCUAUAUACAUGAAACAACCUGUUGGAUUUGUUGAAAAGGGGAAAGAGAAUUUAGUAUGCAAGCUCAAUAAGUCCAUAUACGGCUUGAAACAAGCAUCAAGGCAAUGGUACCUAAAGUUUGAUCAAAUUGUCUCUGCAUAAGGUUUUGUAGAAAACAAACUGGAUGAUUGUAUAUACAUUAAGUUCUCAGGUUCCGAGUUCAUCUUCUUAGUACUUUAUGUUGAUGCCAUUCUCCUAGCUAGUUCAUGUCCCCAAUUGCUUCAUAGCAUUAAGAGAAUGCUAAGUGAUAACUUUGAGAUGAAAGAUCUUGGAGAAGCACAUUAUGUACUAGGAAUAGAGAUUGUUCGAGAUAGGAAAAUGAGGCUCCUUGGUUUAUCUCAAAAGGGGUACAUUGACAGAGUGUUGGAGAAAUUUCAUAUGGCAAAUUGCAAUUGUGGUCAGGUUCCAGUCAAUAAAGGUGACAAGUUUUCGAAGAUUCAAUGUCCAAGAUCUGAUUUGGAGGUGAAGAAAAUGCAAGCUAAGCCUUAUGCCUCGUUGAUUGGAAGUCUUAUGUAUGCAACUAUCUGUACAAGGCCUGAUAUUGCCUUCAUAGUUGGUAUGCUAAGACGAUUUCAAGCAAAUCCUGAGAAGCACAUUGGGGGUGGCAGCCAAGAAGGUUCUUCGAUACUUGCAGAGAACCAAAACUCACAUGUUAGUAUAAUGGCCGAACUGAUUCUUUGGAGCUCAGGGGGUAUAUACUCGGAUUUAGCUGGAGAUGUGGAUGACAGGAAGUCCACAGGGGUUAUAUCUUCAUACUCAAUGGAGGGGCAGUUUCGUGGAAAAAUGCAAAGCAAACUAUUAUAGCCACAUCAACUAUGGAAGCUGAGUUUGUAGCCUGUUUUGAAGGCAUGAAACAGGCAGCAUGGUUGAAGAAUUUUUUGACAGAUUUAAAGAUUGUGAAUUCGGUUCAGAAACCAGUAACAAUGUUCUGUGAUAAACAACUCGGCUGUGUUUUUUGCUAAGAAUAAUAAAAGGACUUCAGCAUCUAGAUUUGGAUGGACGAAGUUUCUUAAGGUCAGAGAACAAGUCAAGAAAGGAGUUAUUGAAGUACAGCACAUUAGCACUACUAUGAUGAUUGCUGAUCCCUUGACUAAGGCACUGCCAAUUGGAGAAUUCAAGAAACAUGUUUCUUCAAUAGGAGUACUAGAAGGUUUUGAUCAGUGGGAGUAAUCACGUGUGUGUUAAAGGCUUGGGAUUGCAGAAGCAGAAGUAUAUAUGUGUUUCAAGAACUGUAUGUGCAAUUCUGACAAGCUGAACUAAGGAUGCUUUAUGUUUUAACUUGCUUUAGUUAGUUUGUUAAGGUUGUUUGUGUUUUAAUAAGUGUCCUUGUCUGCUACUCAAUACUUUGGCUUUCAGGUGUUGAGGUACGGAUACUGGACUGAGUUAGAAUUUAGUUUCAUUAGUAACUUUGAAAGAACAGUUUGUCUGUUUUUUAAGUUUGUGGUUAAUGAUGUUAUAUAGUCAAUUACUAUGUUGCUUUUCUGUGAAGAUUAAUGUGUGUUGUGAUCUUUUGAAAAGUGGGAGCAUAAUGUUUGACGGUUUAUGUUAGUCAUGAGUCAUAUUUACAAAUUGAAUAUAUGUGAGCCUUGAAUUAAUACUACAAUUUGGUUGUGGUCUGAGAUUCUUGGUUUCUAUAUUUUGAGAUGUAAUGGGACAGUGGUCAUGAUGGUUAAAUCUUAGAUGAGGUUAUGUGAUCACUUCUUAUGAUUGGUGACGGCAAGGUUUGAUCUUUGUCUCAUGUUCAAGUGGGAGAAUGUAAGAAUGUGAACAUGAGAUAAGAUGAUCGGAUAUUAGUUGUUUGAGUCCAAUCCGAAUAAGAAAGCCUCUAAGAAGAUGGAAUUCAGUUCUUGGCAGUAGAGGACUCUAUUGCAGGGAAAAACUGAUUUGAAUUAGGAAGGCUUAAGUAGUUUUCCAUAAGGAUUUUAAUAGGGAAUCCAUAUUCUAAUAUGAGAAGGAUAUGUGUGUACAUAUAUAUAUAUAUAUGGCAAUCUCUUCUCUCACAGGUGUGUGCUCUUUUGGAACUAAGCCCUAUUCUUAGUUUGAGUGAUAAAUACCCUGACAGAGAGAAGAAGAAUUGUUGUGCUUUUCAGGUUGAUCGAGAUCCACCAUGACUGCAUCAAACGGGAGUUCUACAGGUUAGUAUAAUUAGGUUUAUUUGGAUUGAUGUUUUGUGUCUACUUGGUUGUAGUUUAAGUAACUGAAUCUUGCAGCUAGAUUUUGGUUUACAUAUUUUUCGAUGUAGGCUUUAUCCACGGUGUGAGCUGCCGGCCUGACGCGGAGUUUGGUAGGGGAGGGGAAUUUGAAGUCUACGAUUUUUUGGGACGUUGGCGGGCAACAGUUGGUCGGGACUGCUCCACUUGGAAAGUCCGCAGCUCCGCAUUUGGCUAGGUCAGGCGGCAACACUGGCUUUGCAACAGCGAAGGGGUCGCUGCCAAGACCAACCACUCCGGCUUUGCAACAGCGAAGGGGUCGCUGCCAAGACCAGCCACUCCACCGUAGAGGCUUCCGAGACCUAUAAGUACAUUUCUUCUGUCUAGGUUUACUAGAGAAGGGUUUUCAUGGUCGUGAUCGUUGGAGCUAGUGGAAGGGUUUUUGUUUUGGUCACUACUAUUAUUUGUGGCUUUGCACGAGACAGCUUGUAAAUUGGAAUGCCUAGGGUUUCCAAAUGAGGAUAUUCGGUGAUACUUUUGGGAGAAAGGGGAGAGAGAAGUUGUGGGGAUGAUACUUGUGGCGGAGGUGACGAGUGGAGCUGACAUAGAAGCCAUGGUACUUGACUCUGAAUAAUACGUUGUAUUGGCUUUGCUUUUAUAAUGUGUUCUAGGUUUUACGUUUCUUUGCACGGGUGGCAGGCCGUACACACGUGGUCGGUCCUUAAGGGUUUGACGAGGAAUACUACGCAGUCAUUUAGUACAUGACAACCAUACACUAUAGCACGUGGCAUGUAUUUAGAGAUCGAGAGAGAAUUGGGUAAGGUUCACGAGGGAUUGUAGUUUCAGAAGGUGAAUUGGUUUUGGUCUUCUUGUGUACCAAUAAUUUUUACUUAGUCAUUUAGUGCAGGACAACCAUGCACUAUAGCACGUGGCAUGUAUUCAGAGAUCGAGAGAGAAUUGGUUGGGUAAGGUUCACGAGGGAUUGUAGUUUCAGAAGUUCAAGCGGUUUUGGGCUUGUUGUGUACGGCUGUGGGUCUGCUGUCACGGACUCUCUGUCUCAUUUGUGUCUUAUUUUUUAUUUUUUGACACGUUUUAACGUCAAAUCAUUAUAGCAAUGUUAUGCAAUUGGGAGCUAAAUGACCGAUGCUCUUAUUUUUUAGUUUGCUUUUUUUCCAGAUCUGAUCAAAUCAUGAUAGCAAUGUUAUGCAAUUUUCAAGAGGGAGAGAUGCACCUGGGAGAGAAACGGUACGGUGACUUCUAAAUCACCGUCCAACAGAACAAUUCUCAGUAGAGACUACUAGAGAGAGAUGCACCUCACCAAUGAAAAAUUUAACUGCAAAAAUUCUGGGUAUCGGGAGUUGUGGGGUGGGUCUUGGCAGUUUUCUUAUUUCUUUGAAUUUUUUAUAAUUUAUUUUAUAAAAGUAACAGUGUUUUGUGGGGGUUAAAUUGUAAAACACGUGUCAUCAAACUAAAUAAAGAGACACCAAAGAGACAUGGAAUUCGGGACAACAGACCCACAGCCGUUGUGUACGGAGGCAGACUCUCUGCUCUCCUACUUUCUGUGUCCUCCUGUUUUGUGUAGUCACGAUUAAAUCACGUCAAUAUUUUAUAUUAUUAUUUUAUAGAUAUAAUAAGACAAAAAAGAAUAGUAAUUUAAAAUAUUAACGUGACUUAACUGUGACCACACGAAUAGGAAGGCAUGAGAAGUGGGAAGGCAAAGAAUAUGCCUCCGUUGUGUACCAAUAAUAUUAUAUAUAUAUAUAUAUAUAUAUAUAUAAUUAGGAUUGAAGGAUGUAGAGCUUAUUUUGUUAUGUAUUCUAACAAUUUAAGUGCUUAUCUUUUAGGUUUUCUCUUAAACAGCAUGCCUAUAAAAAAUCACCAAAAUUCAAACCAUAUGACCAUUAGAUCCAUAGUCAUUUUAGUGUUAAAUGAACUUCACAAAAUAAGUCUCAAAAUAUGUAUAAAAAAUGGACAGCGUGAAUGGUUUGGAAAUUGGAAUAGGUUUGGAAAUUGUGCUUUUUGUAGCAAAUUGCAGCAAAGUUUGCUUGGACUUUCACAACCGUAUAAAUUAAACUGUUCGCUUUGUUGGGAAAAACAAGUUUGCCGCUGGUCUUGGGUUCCAAGAUCGGCCAAUUUGACGGCACACUUUUUGGCGUUGAGAAGCAGUACGGAGAUGUGCAGAUUAACUUGGAUUGAUACUCCUCCAUCUUCGUUGGUUCGUGUAUUGAACAAAGAUGGCCUUCCUUGCCCUCCUUAAUAUUUUUUGUUCUUCCUGCAGUGGAGGCGGUGACGCCUUGCUCUUGGUGCAGCGUCUAGUGUUCUGUACCCUCCUCUUCUGCAUAUGUUUGUAUUUCCCCUCGUUGCCCCUUCUAAGUGGGCUUCCUAUUGUUUUGGCUUCGGCCCUGGUUAUGAAAUAUUUCCAAUCUUACCCAAAAAAAAAAAAAAAAAGAAGAAGAAGAAGAAGUCAAGCACGGUGGGAGACUGGUCAUAGUUUCUAGAUUGAUGCUCUAAUUCUAAUGUUAUACAACGCGUACGCUAAAAUAUUUUUAUCAAAAUAUUAGUUUUAGUGUUAUCAAAACAAUAAUGUUAUUCUUACCAUGUUUUUGUAUCACAAUUAUAUACCACCUUAGAUGGCAUAUGAUGUAGAUAGCCACAUCAUUUAAAUUAAUAAGCAUUUAAUUUCAAAUGUUAAUCAAUAAUUAAUAAAAUGAUUGUUAAUUAAAUGAUGAUUAUGGUAUACAAGGAGUCUCCUUCUUCCUUCCCCUUUCCAUUCUGCUUUUUCUUCCUACCACUUUCUGUUUUUUUUUUCAUGCCAGUUUUUGUAUUGAUUUCUAUUGAUUUCCAUGAUUAUGGUCAAUCUUUAUAGAAUUUACUCGUAUACCACAACCACCAUUGAUUUCUAUCUCUAGACUCAUGCCCCGUAGCCCUAAUCCUCAUUCCCCUUCAAGUAUUUCUGUCUCCAAUCUUCUUUGGUACUCCAUGGUUGUUCAUCUCGUGAUUUUUUUUUAUUAUUUCAUUAAGUAACGCCUAUUAGCUUUCAUGCGAAUUAGGAGUCAAAAUCAAAUUUGUCUAUCGGAUUAGGGUUCAUGCCCAAUUAAGUUACUAACGCAAGAGAGAUUUUGAAGUCUACAAUUUUCCUUAUUUAAGUGUUUUAAUUAAUAAGAAAAUUGAAAUUAAACGAUUUAGCUUGUCCAACUCAUCUGCCACCUAAGAUGGUAAAUAAAUGUGGUAAGAAUAGCAUUACUCUUAUCGAAAUUACAAAAAAAAAAAAAAAAAAAAAAAAAAGCUGAUUCAAUAUUUAGUUAUUAAAAAAAAUAUAAAAAAAGUGAUCAAGUAACUAUCCAAUACCCAUGUAUUGGGUGCUUUGUUUGAAAAUUUUCAAAAUGAUAUUGGGCUCGUUUGGAUAUGUUUUUAAAAUGACUGAAAGCGUUUUUAGAGAAAAUAUUUUUUUGAUUCCAAAAGCACUUAAAGUGUUUUCUGCAAAAAGCACUUAAAGUGCUUUCUGCAAAAAGCACCAGUUAUGUGCUUCUUCCUAGAAGCACUUUAAGUGUUUUUCAAGCAUUUACUUGCUUUUUUACUAAGGAUUGGUUCCAAAAACAUUUUCACAAAAAGUGUUUUCAGUCAUUUUAAAAGUACAUUCAAACGAGCUCAUUGUUUUUCCUAUUUUAAUCAAGUGCGUCGUCCCCUGUUGAGAAUGAAUCUCAUAUUAUGGGGAGAGGGGUCUUGCAUGGAUGAGAGGAGGGACCUUGCAUGAGCUUAUAAGUAAGUUGGGUUACUCUCUAUAUUGCCAAGAGAAAUUUUAUUUGGACCUACUUUUCCUCUCUCUAAACCCAACUUUAAUAUUUUGUUACCUAAACUCUCUAGUUUACCCUCAUAAAUUAUAAACAUAAAUAAACUGGAAAAAGAAAAACUCAUCAAACCUAUUUCCCAACUGUUCUGGCGUCUCUUCCCUGUAUUUGUUGGGUCUAUCUCCCUCCCGACUGUUUUUUUUCCCUGAUAUUCUCUGUGUGUUCCCCCACCUCUCCCACACCCACCGAUUCUUUGUGGUGGCUAUUCCACCCAACGUCCAGUGAAUCUUUCCAUUUUUCUUCUAUUGCGCGUGAUAGGGCCUUGCUGUUAAUAGGCAAAACUAAGCGGCAUCGUCGACUCUGUAAGCGACUUGUUGCAGAAGUCCAAAAUGGAGUCAAAAGGAUUUUGUAUUGGGUCGGGUUGUUGAAGGCGAUGGCUGAUUUAGCAAUCUCGCCUAACUACUUCUAUAUGCAGGAGAAGGAAGAGGGAGGAAGGUCUAAAGUGGUGGUUGAGUGGUGGCGAUGUAUGUGGGUUCUAUCUCGGUUGAAUGGGUGUAGAAAGAUAUUUAAUUUUCAGUUUCUUAUUUUAUUUUGUAUAAGGGAUAAUAUCGGAAUUACAUAAAAAGUUUUUUUUAUAGCUGGGUGUAGAAAUAGUAUUGUUGGGUCUAAAUAAAAUUACCCUAUUGCCAAACAUAGUAUUGUUGGGUCUAAAUAAAAUUACCCUAUUGCCAAUUAGCUUUGUUUGAAAAUUUUCAAAAUGAUAUUGUUUUUACCAUUGAACCCUUGUUAUAUACAGUGAUGGCUAAUUUGUCAAGUUCUACGAAGUUGGGAUACCCAGCGUUUUAGCAUAUAACAUAACUUAGUAUUACAAGCAUAAUUAAUUAAAAUAAAGGAAAAUGAAGAGGAUAGCUUAGUAUUACAAGCAUAAUUAAUUAAAAUAAAGGCAAAAGUAACAGCCUGUCCCUAAAAAUGACGAUUUUAUAAUCUUAACACGUGAGUUUAUGAAGAUGCCCUUCGAGGCAAAGUGUUGACUUGUGUUGACUACCGCAUCGUGUCAUGUGAGACUCAUCUUCUUGGCGUAUUCUCGUUUUACUUGUCACUACGGACGCAUGGGCGCAAACGGGACAUGAUUUGGAGCUAUAACGAAUGAGUUAUUAACAUUUAAAGUUAAGGACAUUUUAGUAAAUUAAUUAAUUUCAGAUUAUGUUGAGGGGAAAAUCUGGAGUGCCGGUGGGUGGCCCAGAUUAAAGGAAAUGAAGAAUGGAUGGUGGAGGUGUAAAGGAAAGAAGAUAAAAGAAAAAUGAGAGGAAGUGUGUGACUAAUAGGGAGAUGAGAGAGUUAGGAUGGCCCAAUCAGAAACAAACGAAAGGAGGAAAAAGGAGAGAAGAGGGGAGCGGGGGAUCCCUUCGACCCGGUUCCAUUUUCCGACCCGACCCGAUCCUUUUCAUCUUCUUUGAUGGUUUUUCGUCGGUUUUUUCCGACGAACCACGUUAUCUAACCCCUUGGAAAAUGUUCCACAACCUUCCCUCAACUAUUACAAUCCAAAAUUGUAGAAAUUUAGCCAUGAAAGUAUGAAAACCACACCGGUGGGUGCGGGAAACCCUUGUCGUCGAUUCUCCCAUUAUUGCAACGAUUUUCACCAAUUACCACCACCUACAACAUCCUCUUGAGGUCUGGAAUAAAGCCCAAACAAGUUUUGCACUACUACAAUAUUAGCUUUAGAUGGCAGAUGAUGGUGGCGGAUUUAGAAAAAUAUUGUCGGAUAAAUUAUAUCUGACACAUUAUUUAAUUAGUGGUGAAUAUAAGAAAAAUCAUGUCGGUUAUAACCGACAUAAAUUCGUGGCAGAUACUAGCAGAUAUUAAAAAACUCAUGUCGGUUAUAACCGACAUAAAUUCCUAGCGAAUAAUUACUGACAGAUAUUAUAAAACUUCUGUCGGUUAUAACCGACAAUAUUUUUGAAUUGGGGGAAUUUAAAAUUUUGGGAGGGAAUUUAAAAUUUUGGGAGGGAAUUUAAAAUUUUGGAGGAAAUUUUGGGGGGAUUUUUACCCAUAUUAAUUCAUGGCGGAUAAUUACUGACGAAUAUUAUAAAGCUCAUGUCGGUUAUAACCAACAAUAAUGAAAAUGUUUAUGUCGAUUUUUAUUAAAAAAAUGUUUCUGUCAGUUUUAACCGACAUUAAUGAAAAUAUUCCACAGUAAAACCCCUACUUCUUCUCCUUGUGCUGGUGCCUUCUCCCUUCCCCCUUCUUUCCCCCUUUUCUCUUCUCCUCAUUUCCUUUUCCUUUGUAUUUUUGAUUUUGACAAGGUCUCUCCUUUAUUUGAUUCUUUGUUGUUCAUCUCUCACAAAUGUAGAGAGAGUAAAGGAGAUGCUUAGAGCGCUUUCUUUGUUCCUUUUUUUUUUCUUUUCAUUUUUUCCCUUUUCAAACUCCGACUAUGUCUUACAUGGCCGGUCCCAAGCCCGGAUAAAGGAGGAGGGGGAGGGCGUCAGGUAGUCGACAGCCGGCACUCCAUGAUCACGUCGAAUCCUUAUGAAAAUGAAUCCAGAACAAAAUCGCGCUAAAGCUAGGGCGCCACCCGUAAGUGGCGCGCUGUGUGGCCCGAGCACAGUGAUAAGUGAGCAAGGGUCGCUGUAUCUCCAUCGGCACUCGGAUGCAGUGUUAAAUGAGCAAGGGGGCCAUAGAAACUUCUUUUCGAACGACUCCACUCAAAGUUGUUUGGGAGCAUAUGCUCCUAUCAACUUUACCCGGGACACACAAAAGAAGUACUUUGAUCCUAUUAGACGGGGGAGGGUGAAGAAGCUAGGACAGAAGGGUAGAGUUCAAGAGAGCAAAAUGCGUUUAGGAACGUGGAAUAUAGGAACCUUAACGGGAAAAUCUAUGGAAGUAGUGGAAGUUAUGGUGAGGAGAAGGAUAAAUAUUAUGUGCCUACAAGAAACUAAGUGGGUUGGUAGUAAGGCAAAGGAUCUAGAAAACUCAGGGUUUAAACUUUGGUAUUCGGGCACAAAUAGAACGAGAAACGGUGUUGGCAUCAUCGUGGACAAGACCUUGGUACAAGAUGUUGUAGAUGUCAAGAGUGUAGGAGAUAGAAUCAUGGCAAUCAAGAUUGUAAUAGGACAAGAACUUAUCAAUGUGAUUAAUGCGUACGCACCUCAAGUAGGGUUGGAUACGAGUUCGAAGGAGAAAUUUUGGGAAGAUCUUGGAGACUUGGUGCAAGGAAUUGCUCAGACGGAGAAGUUAUUUAUAGGAGGAGAUUUAAAUGGACACGUGGGCAGGGAGACAGGCAACUAUGGAGGUUUUCAUGGUGGCCAUGGUUUUGGGGAGAGAAACGAGGAUGGGGAAGCUAUCUUGGAUUUUACAAUGGCAUAUGAUCUCUUCUUAGCCAACACCUUCUUUAAGAAGAGAGAAGAACAUGUGAUCACCUACAAGAGUGGGUCGUCAAAAACACAAAUAGAUUUUCUUCUAAUGAGGAAAGGGGAUCGUAUAACUUGUAAGGAUUGCAAAGUUAUACCAGGAGAGAGCGUGGCUAAUCAACAUCGCUUGUUGGUGAUGGAUGUACAUAUCAAAAGAGUAAGACAAAAGAACAAGACUUGGAAGUGCCCAAGGACUAGAUGGUGGAAUCUAAAAGAAGAAAAACAAGUCAUUUUCAAAGAGAAGGUAAUCACCCAAUGUGUGUGGGAUAGAGAGGGGGAAGCUAGCCAAAUGUGGGAUUUCAUGGCUAGUUGUAUCCGAAAAGUAGCAAAAGAGGUAUUAGGAGAGUCUAAGGGCUUUGCCCCACACUAAAAGGAAUCUUGGUGGUGGAAUGAGGAGGUACAAACAAAGGUGAAGGCUAAGAAGGAAUGUUGUAAAGCCUUAUACAAGGAGAGGACCGAUGAAAAUGGUGAAAGGUAUAGAAAAAAAGCGAAGCAAGAGGCGAAGAAAGCUGUCAGAGAAGCUAAGUUAGCGGCUUACGACGAUAUGUAUAAACGACUAGAUACCAAAGAAGGAGAGUUGGAUAUCUAUAAACUAUCUAGAGCAAAGGAAAAGAAGACAAGGGACCUAAACCAAGUGAGGUGCAUCAAGGAUGAGGAUGGAAAGGUUCUUGCUACAGAGAACGCGGUUAAAGACAGAUGGAGAGGUUAUUUUCAUAAUCUUUUCAAUGAAGGACAUGAAAUGAGUGCUUCUUUAGGGGAGUUGAGUAACUCAGAAGAGUGUAGAAACUACUCUUUUUAUCGUCGAAUCCGGAAGGAAGAAGUGGUUGUAGCUUUGAAGAAGAUGAAGCAUAAAAAAGCAAUAGGCCCAGACAAUAUACCAAUCGAAGUGUGGAAACUUUUGGGAGAGACAGGUAUAACAUGGCUCACUGACCUUUUCAAUAGGAUUUUGAAAACGAAAAAGAUGCCAAAUGAGUGGCGAACGAGCACUUUGGUGCCUAUCUACAAGAAUAAGGGCGACGUACAAAAUUGCAUGAACUAUAGGGGUAUUAAGCUAAUGAGUCAUACAAUGAAGCUCUGGGAGAGAGUCAUUGAGCAUAGAUUGAGGCAAGAGACACGGGUUUCGGACAACCAAUUCGGGUUCAUGCCAGGGCGCUCAACCAUGGAGGCAAUCUAUCUCUUACGAAGAUUGAUGGAAAGAUAUAGAGAUGGGAAAAAUGAUUUACACAUGGUCUUUAUAGAUUUGGAAAAAGCGUAUGAUAGGGUCCCAAGAGACAUUCUUUGGAGGAUUUUAAAGAAGAAAGGAGUACGAGUAGCAUAUAUCCAAGCUAUAAAGGACAUGUAUGAAGAAGCAAAGACUGCCGUAAGAACUCAUGAAGGACAAACCGAAAGCUUUCCCAUAACUGUAGGAUUACAUCAAGGCUCAUCCUUAAGUCCUUACCUUUUUGCGUUGGUAAUGGAUGAGUUAACAGGACAUAUUCAAGAUGAUAUUCCUUGGUGUAUGCUUUUCGCAGACGAUAUAGUGUUGAUAGAUGAAACUCAGGAAGGGGUAAAUGCAAAGCUUAACCUUUGGAGAGAAGUGUUGGAAUCUAAAGGUCUUCGCCUAAGCCGAUCAAAGACAGAAUAUAUGGAGUGCAAGUUCAGUGCAAAUGGAGGCCAAAACGAGUUAGGGGUGAGGAUCGGAGAUCAAGAAAUACCAAAGAGUGACCGUUUUCGUUACCUAGGAUCUAUCUUGCAAAAGAACGGAGAAUUAGAUGGAGAUCUCAACCAUAGAAUACAAGCUGGAUGGAUGAAGUGGAAGAGUGCAUCUGACGUGUUGUGUGACCGUCGUAUGCCACUGAAGCUCAAAGGAAAAUUUUAUAGGACGGCAAUAAGGUCGGCGAUGAUUCAACUUGGCGGGUUCGAGCAAAUAGGCGUUGGGCCAUAUUAGACACAGAACCUGCACACUGAACACUGAGAGCUAGCGAAUCCUUAACAGCUAACUCAUCAGACCGUUUGGAAAGUAGUCUGUUAUCUUUGGGAGUGAGAAGGUUCCUGGCCACCACCGCAGCGGUCAUAUCAUUCUUCAUCACGGAAUCCCCAACGGUAAGAGGACCAGUAGGGGAGACAAAGGAUGGGCGCCAUAUGUUGUCUGGAGAAGGCGGGGCUGCCUCUUCAACAAGGUUCAAGUCAAAAAACGACGGUCGGAGGGCCAGACAUUUUCAAAGGUGUUGAAGAGAGAAGAGGUCGGACACAAAUCAAGAUCUUAGAAGUGCAAGAAUGAAGCUUCUACUGGUGGAGAUUCAAGUGUGCUUUGGAACUUAAUGCCAGCCCCUAUAAAAAUCUGCACUCGACGGAGCUUCAGAAAUCGAAGAGGCGUUUGCUUUCUCAAAAGCUGGGCUGCUUAGAGAUCACGAGGGUUGAUCUCAGGAAUCGAAGAGGCGUUUGCUUUCUCAAAAGUUGGGCUGCUCAAAGACCACGAAGGCCGAUCUCAGAAAUCGAAGAGGCGCUCACUUUCUCAAAAACUGGGCUCCCCAGAGACCACGAGGGCCGAUCUCAAAAAUCGAAGAGGCACCUACUUUUCCAGCCUUGUCAGCACCUGUCACACGCACACUCAGCUUUGCGGAAAUUAUGGGCAUUCUGUCGAAGACUUCUGGGGAAGUAGAAAACACAUGAAUCUUACUGUUCAAUCACCCACUUCCCACACGCAAUAAUAGCUCAUGGGUACCACAGAUAACUUUGCCAAAGUUCUCUGCCAAAGUUGAGCACGUGAAGCUUGCAGCUCCCACUACAUCGCUCUGACCAAGAAGGGUAAAAAGAAUAGCAAAGAAACAGCACUAACAAAGUUUAGACCCAUAAAUUUUGAAGGUCUAGCUACCAUAUUAUUACCCACAAGGGUAAAGGAACAGUACCACUGCUGGAUAAUUGGAAAGUCCCUAUGUGUCAACCUCUGUGCUUCGUGGCAAGGUAGACUAGCAAACAUGCCCAACCUUUACUCACAUUCGAGAAAACACUCCCAAUAAGAUUGCUUGCUCCAAAAUCGAAGAGGCACCGUCCUCCGAAUCUCGAGAGCCAGACUCCCAACAUGACUACUUUCUUAAAAAUCGAAGAGAGGGUAAAGGAACAGUACCAUUGCUGGAUAAUUGGAAAGUCCAUGUGUGUCAACCUCUGUGCUUCGUGGCAAGGUAGACUAGCAAACAUGCCCAACCUUUACUCACAUUCGAGAAAACACUCCCAACAAGAUUGCUUGCUCCAAAAUCGAAGAGGCACCGCCCUCCGAAUCUCGAGAGCCAGACUCCCAACAUGAUUACUUUCUCAAAAAUCGAAAGAGACACUGCUCCCCGAAUCUUCGAGAGCCAGACCCCCAGCAUGAUUGCUUUCUCAAAAAUCGAUGAGGCAUCGUUCUCCGAAUCAAUCGAAGAGGCGCUCGCUUUCUCAAAAGCUGGGCUGCUCAGAGACCACGAGGGCCGAUCUCAGAAAUCGAAGAGGCACUUACUUUUCUAGCCUUGUCAGCACCUGUCACACGCACACUCAGCUUUGCAGAAAUUAUGGGCAUUCUGUCGAAGACUUCUGGUGAAGUAGAAAGCACAUUAAUCCUACUGUUCAAUCACCCACUUCCCACACGCAACAAUAGCUCAUGGGUACCACAGAUAACUUUGCCAAAGUUCUCUGCCAAAGUUGAGCACGUGAAGCUUGCAGCUCCCACUACAUCGCUCUGACCAAGAAAGGUAAAAGAAUAGCAAAGAAACAGCACUAACAAAGUUUAGACACAUAAAUUUUGAAGGUCUAGCUACCAUAUUAUUACCCACAAGGGUAAAGGAACAGUACCACUGCUGGAUAAUUGGAAAGUCCCUGUGUGUCAACCUAUGUGCUUCGUGGCAAGGUAGACUAGCAAACAUGCCCAACCUUUACUCACAUUCGAGAAAACACUCCCAACAAGAUUGCUUGCUCCAAAAUCGAAGAGGCACUGUCCUCCGAAUCUCGAGAGCCAGACUCCCAACAUGACUACUUUCUCAAAAGCGAAGAGAGGGUAAAGGAACAGUACCAUUGCUGGAUAAUUGGAAAGUCCCUGUGUGUCAACCUUUGUGCUUCAUGGCAAGGUAGACUAGCAAACAUGCCCAACCUUUACUCACAUUCGAGACAACACUCCCAACAGGAUUGCUUGCUCCAAAAUCAAGAGGCACCGCCCUCCGAAUCUCGAGAGCCAAACUCCCAACAUGAUUACUUCCUCAAAAAUCGAAGAGACACUGCUCUCCGAAUCUCGAGAGCCAGACCCCCAGCAUGAUUGCUUUCUCAAAAAUCGAAAAGGCAUCGUUCUCCGAAUCUCGAGAGCCAGAUACCACAGACCACUUUUUCAAAGUGCUCUGACAGAGUUAAAACAUGUGAAACUGGCAGCUCCCACUACCGUGCUAUGACCAAGCAGGGUAAAGGAAUAGCAUUACUACUUGUUGUUAGGGAGACUCCUAUAUAUGUCGACCUCCAUCCCCAACGGACAGGCAGACCUGCAAAAAUGCUCAACCCUUCAUCAUAUCUGAGUGGGCACUCCCAACGAAGCCUUUCGAAAUAUUCAGCUUUCUUUCCCCCCGAUAAUACCUCUGCAAACAAGCUAUACUAGAGCAAGAAUAUCUCAUAUCAUCAGGGUUAAAAGCAAGAGUAUCCCAUAUCAUGCUUUUUCCCUGUCUUUUCCUUUGGCCUUGUUUUUACCUGCAAGACAAGGAGAAAGAGAGCAAUCAGUCAGCACUUGGAAUCAAGCUUCCAACCAGGAAAUGACUGCCUGGAACCCCUUACUUGGCAUUGCUCUCGAGUACUCAUCUUCAACAUCUUAUGUUUCCAGGGAAGAUUCUGCAUCUGCUUGAGGAACAGAUAGGGCAAGUGCGAAGGAUACAAGGAAGCAUGCGGAGACAAGCGUAACAGCACACGUGCCGAUACAUCCAUUACUCUGUCAAAAGCAAAAGUAUCCCAUAUCAGCAGGGUGGAACGUACUCUAGAUUUGAUGGACUUGUUUUGACCCUCAAAUUCUUCAGUCGGCCUUAUAUUCUGGAGGAAACCAGAAAACCCUCCAGCUCAGUUCAAGAAUAAGCCUGUGGAAAGUUACUUCUUCAAAAGCAAAAGUAUCUCAUAUCAUCUCUUCUCAUUUUUCUUCUCUCUUUAUCCUUCAUGCUGCUGCAAGAUGGGGAGAAGGUGAACAAUCAGUCGGAGCUCUGAUUGCUUACCUUGUCUGUCACCUCUUUCAGCAGACCCCCUAGCUCGGCGACUUGGGGGACUCCUACUAAAUGGUUUGUAUCGCGCUUGACCAAGCCUGAAACUACAAGUAAGCUUCAAGUGAAAUUGAUACAUUACCUUGUGCAUCUCCACCAGUUAAAGAUACCACCCCUGGAUGGAGGAAGAGUACUUCCAGAGAAGAUGCCACAUCUACCUAUGAGACAGAUAAGGCAAGUCAAGACGACACCACACUCCGAUACUUAGAAGUUUCGUGAUUAUGAGAUCAUUCUCCCACAAUAUUUCCUAAUGUCAUUUGUACUAAAUCAUUCACUUGUACUCACUAAAGGAGAGCUUGAACCUAUGUACUUGUGUAAACCCUUCACAAUUAAUGAGAACUCUUCUAUUCCGUGGACGUAGCCAAUCUGGGUGAACCACGUACAUCUUGUGUUUGCUUUCCUAUCUCUAUCCAUUUAUAUACUUAUCCACACUAAUGACCGGAGCAAUCUAGCGAAGAUCACAAAAAGCGACCGUUUUCGCUACCUAGGAUCUAUCUUGCAAGAGAACGGAGAAUUAGAUGGAGAUCUCAACCAUAGAAUACGAGCUGGAUGGAUGAAGUGUAAGAGUGCAUCCGGCGUGUUGUGUGACUAUCGUAGGCCACUGAAGCUCAAAGGAAAAUUUUAUAGGACGGCAAUAAGGCCAGCGAUGUUGUAUGGCACAGAAUGUUGGGCGGUGAAGCAUCAACACGUACACAAAAUGGGUGUAGCGGAGAUGAGGAUGCUUCGUGGGAUGUGUGGGCACACGAGAAAGGAUAAGAUUGGGAAUGAGGAUAUCCGAGGUAAAGUAGGAGUAGCCGAAAUUGUAGGAAAGAUGAGAGAAAAUCGGCUCCGGUGAUUUGGACAUGUGCAAAGAAGGCCGACUGACGCUCCGAUUCGAAGAUGUGACUACGGGACAGAGGUUCAGGGCCGAAGGGGUAGAGGAAGACCUAGGAAAACUUUGGAAGAGACUCUAAGAAAAGACUUAGAGUACUUGGAUCUAACGGAGGACAUGACACAAAACCGAGCGCAAUGGCGUUCUAGGAUUCAUAUAGCCGACCCCACUUAGUGGGAAAAGGCUUUGUUGUUGUUGUUGUUGUUGUAUUUUUUCCCUUUUCAAAAUCGAAAUGUUCUAAAUUAUUUCACUAAUCCUUGCUAGUUUGAACUGCAGGAGUCUGUCUCUGGAUUUGAAAGAUUAUCUGGACUUACAGUUUUGAAGAAUUGGGAUUCUAGUGUUACACAUAUUAUUGCAUCGACAGAUGAAAAUGAAGCAUGCAGAAGAACCCUUAAAAUUUUGAUGGGUAUCUUGGAGGGGAAGUGGAUUCUGAGUGUGGAGUGAGUUUUACUGUUUUCGUUUUAAUUGUUCUUCCUCAAGUGCUUGGACUUUACAAUUGUAAUGAGUACAGAAGCCGAAAUGAGAUAUUGAUAUACAUGUUCACAUUGCUGAUAAUUCGUUAUCCGUCUGUUUGUGUAGGAAUUAAUGCUUGCACAUAAGUAAUGAAACUAGUUAAUGAGGAGCCUUAUGAAAUCAACGUUGACAUUUAUGGAAUCAGGGAUGGUCCUCGACUUGGUAGACUAAGGCUGCAGAACAAGGUUAGCUUUUCCUCGAGUUUAACUAUCAUCACGAAAACUUUAGAUUUUCAUGGAUUCACCAUAGGCAUUGUUAAUCUUGUUCAGUCCAUAAAUAGGUUACACACUUAUCUUAACAAAGGUGAGACCUUCUCAAUUCCUCAUCGAGAUGAAUCAAGAGCAUAAUUGUAGCAGUGAUCAAGAGCAAUUUUUUUAUGUUUCUUCCAAAUUGUUGAGAUGAAUCAUCUGUGUUUUGUUCUAAUAAUCUUACAAAUUUGUUGAGCAAUUUUUGUAAAGUCAGAAUCUUUGGUUUCGGUUGUGAGGUAUCUGAUUUGGGUAUAUGUGUUUUGCAGGGCACGGUGGUUGUGGCGGAGGAAGAUUAGGAUUGACGACAGAGCUCUGGCCAUGAACUAUCAGCUCUGUCUUUCUCUCUCUAACUAUGAAUUGAAUACAAAAGUCUGUGUUGAUAUGGAAAAUGUAGCUCAAAAUUAUUACACAAAUGGCAAAAAAAAAAAGUUCGAGUGUGGAGUUUCACUUACUGAUACAGGGCUUUUGAAACAGGGUUGUCUAGACUGUAGAAGAAAUCCAUGGCUUUUGGAAGAGGGGAUGUUCCAAAUCUAUCUUUUCUCCCUCUCUAAUGUUCUUCGAGGGGUUCUUGUGAUGCAAAAAGUGGUUUAUAUAUAUUUUUUAUUAUUAAUAAAUUUUCUGUCGGUUUUAUCAGACAAUAAUUCUUUUAUUUAUUCUUAUUAAUAAUUUCUCUGUCGGUUAUAUCUGACACAAUUUCUGUCGAUUUUAGAGUAUUUUCUAUCGAAAAUUUCAUUUCCUGACGCAUCAAUUAUGUCGCUUAUUAUAUCCGCCACUGCACUCAUUUCAUGUCGGAUUUUGCUUAAUUUCCAACAGUAUUAUACAUUUCUUGUCGGUUUUUAAACCGACACUAAUGGGUACUUUUGUAGUAAUGUUGGGGCGUCGGAGUUCGUUUAAGGUCGAAUUGAGCACACCCAAAUUCAAGGGUUCCGUACGGUUCAUGGUAAUUUGAGGUAUUUCUCAGCCAAAUUGUCCUUAGUCACAGAUAUGAAAGUUGCUCCACUCGUUGAGAUCUUCAUUUAUGUCAAAUUUGAGAAUUUUUAGAAAUAAUUGGAUUUUCCAGCGAAUCGGGGCGGCGGACCACCACCGGACAGCGCAUGGCUAGUGGGCCCCCAAUGUCAUUUUACGUUAAAUUGGUAUCUUGAUUUUAGGUUUGAUGUCUAUAUGUUAUGACUUGAUAUGUGAACCUAGUUUAAUUAAGGUGCGUUAAUUGGUAAAAAUAUGAAACGACGAUCCGACCGUGGGAUCGUCACCAAUCUUUAUUAUGUUAUAGUACAUUAUAUUUGAGAAUCAUAGGGACUGACGGAUAGGAAAUCCGAUAUACGGAUCUUCCUGAAAUGGAAUUGUAAGUUCGAAGAAUAAACGUUAACCGCCACUUUGUUUUGACUAUUGGUGAAGAUCCAACCGUUGGAUCAUAAUGAAAUUUUAGGAUGAUGUUUUAGAAGCAUAAUGUGGAUCUUUGGAAGUUAUUGAUUGGAAAUCCGAGGAGCGAAUCUUCCGGAUUGAAUUACGUAAGGUUGUGGACCCUACCGUCGAUCGUUGACUGACGAUCGACUUUUGGUCAAUGGGGCUUAAAUCACUCUAAAAUGUUUUUAGGGAUGUGUUUUACGUAAAUUACAUUAUCUAUGGAUAAGAAUUCUGAGAUGUGGUUUGAUAAUUGUCCUGGGCGCCGAUCGUUAGGAACGCUUCGAUGGUUGUGCUAGGAAAUUGUAGCAUAGACUCCAGGUGAGUGAAUCUUUUCCUUCUUAUAUAUAUAUAUAUAUAUAUAUGAUUGACAAUUCCACAAACGUUUAUAAAUUGAUUAUUGCAUAUAACUACUGUAAAUACUUUGAAGUACUUAUGCGAACUACGAAUGGCUUGAUCCCUAUUUAGGGUACGUAUGCAGUCUAACAAGACAUUAAAUGCAGUCAUACAAUAAUUGAGAUUAAACAAUUGAGACAAAGCCUUGUAUGGGGAACUGGGCAAGGUGAACGAAUUUGGUAAAAAUGUGAGAUUUAACCUUCUGAAUUGGUGAUUAAAUGUUGGUCAUAAAUCAAUGUGUAAAGAAUCAAGAAUUUGAAGUAAGGAAACGUAAGUAAUGAUAAUUAAUUAAACUAGUGUCUAGUUGGGCUUGUCACCUAUAAUUAUCCCCAAAAAUGAAUAAUUCGGGAGUAGGGCGUUAUAGCUUCUGCAUUUUUAUGCCACAUUAUAUAUAUAUAUAUAUGUGUGUGUGUGUGUGUGUGUGUGUGUGUGUGUAUAAUUGGAAAUGCUAUAACGUGGUUGAGUAUCAGAUUUCAUCAUGGUUUAUCUAUAUGUAUAUUACCUGCACACAAUUAUUAUGAACACUUUGAAGUGCAAAGGUGAACGCAAGACACCCAGGAAAGUUCAGGUGAGUUUAUGGUAUUAGUUGAAAUGAUGGGGUUAUGGUAACUACAUGUAUGUUUAGGUUGCAAUGAUAGGCAACUCCGACACUGUCGUACAAGUUGCCCAUGAAUUGUAUAUGUUACAAUAGAUAGAGUUAGAGGUCAUAAACCUGCACCCCGGUGUUAGUGCUCCCACCCGUGGCUAGGGCACAGUCUUUCACGAGAUGUUCACCUCUCGCAUCUUACGCUCACCUUGGAUCCAAGGUAGGUGCACAGUCAUGUCAUAAAGACCACUAUAGGUGGUUCCGACUAGUAGAUGACCCGUGAUUAUUCGCACAGUCUUCACGUGAUUGUAGCACUUGAGCGUAUUUAUUUACACCCAGUCCUGUCGUACAGACCACUUUAGGUGGUUCCGACUCGUAUGCAGGUAUACUUAUUGAGCUAUGGAUAAGUCGUACAGGUCACUAAAGGUGACUCCAACUUAUGAGCUAGCAUAUGUGAUGAAAUAUGUGAUGAGCUAGCAUAUGUAAUGAGAUAAGUGAUGAGCUAGCAUAUGUGAUGAGAUAUGUGAUGAGUUAGCAUACGUUAUGAGAUAUGUGAUGAGUGAUAUAAUCAUAAUUGCAUACAUUUUCAUGCCCUUUUAGUUUAGAUUUUUGUUAUCCUUUUGAGUGAAUUUAGUUUGUUUCACUUAGUUUUAUGUUUUUCUUAGAUUUGAAGUGUGAAGAUGAAGAAAGAAGAAAAAAGAGCAUUUUUAGCGAUUGAAAUGAGUUUGGCAUGCUGGAAGCAGAGGCUAUUUGUGCGGAUCAGCCAACUUUACGGAUUAAACUGUACUUCCUUAGAAUGCCAGCUGUUGAGUCUUAUACCAUUGGAAAGAUAUGAAAGUUAGCUUUCAGAGGAAUUUUACGAUUCGUGAUUCCGAGUUUCCUAGAAGACGUUAUAGUGGUUUUUCUACCAGAUGUCUGCCAGCAAGGUUUUACGCGGGAUUUGCAAAGAGAUUCCAGAUUUACAAAGUUUAAUUAAAGGAAACAAGCAGAGAAAAAAGAAGAGGAAGCUUUUAGAAAAGUUCAGGACUAUUCUAAACGGUGCAUAGUUAAUAUAUUUAAUAGUUUAGUGUGCCACAUCAUCAAUAAACUAAUCUAAGUCAGAAGAGAAAUUCAAGAGUCCCAUUCAAGUAAGUAUUCCAGCAGUUUUAUUCAGGAAUAAAGGAGGGCAGACCGUCGGACUUUAGGAGCGGACAGAGAGAGUUUUUGGGUUUUCGAAGGUGCAGAGAAGAGGUCGCAGCAAGGAGUGAAACAGAGUCGCCGAUCAUCUGGGCAAUCCAUCACCAUCGUGUGGAAGUAUUUUAUGUUUUUCAGAUUUUUAAUUAUGUUUUCAGAUUUUAUGAGUAACUAAACUCUUUUUCUAAGGUUAGGAUGAUGCCCUAGCAUGGAUGUUUAUGGUUUGUAAUGUUAUUCAUUGGAUUUCCAGUUUCUUUUAGAUGAAUGCUUAAUCACUGUUUGAAUUGUUACUGUUUGUUUGAGUUCUUUGAUUGAUCACCUUAGGACUUUGCAUCUAGUAAGAUUGGAAGAUGAAUUUGAGACUGAACUAACAAUAUAAUUCAAUUAGCUUCUUGUGGUUAAGUGUGGUAAAUUACAUUAUUGCUUGAAAAAGAAUAAUGGUUUGUUUGGGUCCCUUGUUUUCUAGAGGGUAAAGAGUCCUACUUGUUAAAUUUAUGCCUUAACUAGGAUAGACUGCUUGUUAGGAUAUACGACCUCUGCCUAAACUAGGAGAGAAUCAUUCACAUAAGGAAAACUAUGGUCUAAUAUGCCUGACAAGGACUUAGAUACGGGAAUUAUCAUCUAAAGAAUUGAAAGAUCCAUUGAAUGCAUUGAAACCUAAACUAGAUUGCUUGUGGUUGAUUCCGAAUCCCUAGAUUUUCAUCACUUGCCUUAAAACACAACCGUUUCUUUUCUUUAAUUUCAGUUUUUACUUAAGGUUCUGUUUUUGUUCAUUUAUAAAAUCAUCACAACAAAUUUUUUACAUCUUUGAUUGACUUAUUAAUUAAGAUCGAGUCUAGUUCGUUGUUUGGGUUUGUGUGUCUUUAAUAUAAUUAGAUUUGGUUUAGUUUAUCAAAUUGGAGAUUGAAUUAGAAUCCUCGUGGGAACGAUACUUGGACUUGCAAAACGUUAUAUUACGACUAUCUUGUGCACUUGUAAGUUUACACCAAGUUUUUGGCGCCGUUGCCGGGGACUCUAAUUGAGUCCCCCAAUUUGAUAUCAUAUUCCAUAUCUAAUAAGUAGUUUAUUGUAGAUUAUUCAAUUUGAUUUUGUUUUGUUCUCUAGUUUCGAGUAAGAGUCAUAACUAUUAAGAUAAGUAAAAGUAAUUUUCGUCACUGUUUUAUUUCAGUUUUGUAUCACUGUUUCGACACAGUUUUGGACUAAACUAUUCGAUUUUUUACCAGGAAUAUUGUGUAUCGUUGGAAAGCCCCAGAAGUCUAGUUUUCAACCCAAAAAACAGAUCAAUGAUUGGAUUUUUGAGCUGCAAGAAAUGUACAAAAUACUGAGCAGUGGUCAAACAAGGAGCACAGUCUGGUCGUAUAUGCAAGGUAGACGUUCGUUGCAAUUUGAGUUGAUUCAUAUAGACCAAGAACUUGUGCGUACUUUAAGAGAACAGUGGAGGCAGCGAGUGUGUCAAGAACCAGCCAUGGAGGAAGUAGUUAAUAAUGGUGGAAAUAAUCCUCCACCAUUGCUACCACCACAACCAAGGCUCAUGCGUGAUUAUACAAAGCCAACGGAGUACAACGCACCGUCAUGCAUUGUUUUGGCUCCAAUUGCGCAGCGAUUUGAGAUUCGUCCACAAAUCUUUCAGUUGCUGCCUAUAUUUCUUGGGAAGGAGGAAGAAAAUCCAUACCAUCAUAUCAAGGCGUUUUUCAAGCUAUGUUCCACAUUCACAUUCACCAAUGUUACUGAAGAGCAAAUUCGACUUCGGUUAUUCCCAUUCUCUUUGAGGGAUAAAGCAAGCAGUUGGUUGGAUUCUCUUCCCGAAGCAUCUAUCGACACAUGGACAAAAUUAUCGAAGAAGUUUUUGUCCAAGUUCUUCCCCGCUCGAAGAACCAAUGCUCUGAUCAAUGAAAUCAUGAGCUUUCGACAACAAGAAGGUGAACAGUUUCAUGAAAGUUGGGAGCGCUAUAAGGACUUGUUUCUUCAAUGUCCUCAUCAUGGUUUCAACACUUGGCAAAAGGUUCAUUAUUUUUACAAAGGUUUGAACUCUCAAUGUAGGAGUUUGGUUGAUUCAACGGUUGGUGGAACCUUGAUAGACAAAACUCCAGAAGAUGCCAUACAUGCCUUUGAAACUAUAUGUGAAAAUUCUGAGCAUUGGGAUUUUCCUACAAAAGAUUUGAGAGUUCCAACUGCAUCGUCAACAAAAAAAGGAGGCAUUUAUGAAGUUAAUACAAGGACGGGCUUAGAGGCACAAGUGGCAGCCCUCACCAAGCUUCUCACACCACUUGUAAGCAAGAUAGCCACGCAGCCAUGUACUUUAUGUGCGAGCAUCGCCCAUGACAUGGAAAAUUGUCCAACAAAUGCUAAUCUAGAAGGCAUCCAAGAGGUCAAUGCAUUUAGUGGGAGGCCCCGGAAUGAUCCAUAUUCUAAUAAUUAUAACCCGGGAUGGAGAGAACAUCCAAAUUUUUCUUAGAGAGAUUCACAAAAUAGCAUGGGAUCAUUCACUUCAACAAAGCAAUAUCAGCAACCUUAUCAAGCUCCUCCAAUUCAACAAAAAGACUCGUCUAUCAAGGAUAUGUUAUCUCAACUCUUAAAGAAAACUGAUCGGUAUGAACAUGAAGUUGUGUCGCUUAGACAAAGUCAGACGGUGUUGGAAAAGGCUCGAUCUAAUUUUGAGACUCAGUUGGGACAGAUAGCUACUACUUUGAACAAGCUGGAGUGAGCACAAGGGCAAUUUCCAAGCCAAACUGAAACAAAUCCUAGGAAUCAAAAGCAUGUUCAAGCUGUCACCACUUUGAGGAGUGGAAAGACGAUUGGUAAUAAUGUGGAAAGUUCAAAAAUUAAUAAGGAAGAAGAUGAAGGGGUCAGCACAUAUCGGGCAGCAGCUUGACAAGACAAGCUAAAAAAGAGAAGUAUAUGGGAGAUAUUUUAGAGCAAUUUAGAAAGGUGCAGAUUAAUAUUCCUUUUCUCGAUGCCAUCAAACAAAUUCAAUCAUAUGCGAAGUUUUUGAAGGAACUUUGUACUAACAAGAGACGGUAUGAAGAACAUGAGGAGGUGAAGUUAUCAGACACGGUUAGUGCGGUUCUUCAAAGAAAAUUGCCACCAAAACUUCAAGAUCCUGGUAGCUUUACAGUCCCAUGUGUCAUUGGAGAAAGAAAAUUCGAAAAAGCUUUGCUUGACUUGGGAGCCAGUGUGAAUUUGAUGCCCUAUUCUGCUUAUAAACACCUCAAAUUAGGCGAACUAAAGCACAUAUCCAUUUCUCUACAAUGCACUGAUCGUUCUGUGAAAUAUCCAAGAGGGAUUGUUGAAAAUGUACUUGUGUGUGUUGAUCAAUUUAUUCUUCCUGCUGACUUCAUCAUUUUGGACAUGGAAGAAGCCGAAAUUCCUGGUCGUGACUUGCCUCUCAUUCUUGGCAGACCUUUCAUGGCUACUGCAGGUACGAAGAUUGAUGUUAAAUCGGGAUUAUUAACUAUGACUGUGCAAGGUAUUACUGUAGAAUUUCAGGUCUUCGAAGCAUUGAAGAAGCCCAUGGAUCUUUAUGACUGCUUUCGUGUUGAGGUAGUGGAUCCAAUUAUAAAAAAAAACAUUCAUUGAAUCAAGCAUCUCAGAUCCUCUGGAAGUUUGUAUCUCUCAACAUGGGAUGAGUUUUGAAAAGGCUACCAUCAUUGAAGCAGAACGAGAUCUCAAUGCCGUAACGUCCUACUCUCUUAGAUGCCAGCCCAAAUUUGAAGCGUUGCCACUCACAAGCCAAAAUUGUACCAUCCAUUAUACAACCUCCAAAGCUUGAAUUGAAGCCUCUUCCAGAGACUUUAAAGUAUGCAUAUUUGGUGAUUCAGAGACUCUUCCUGUGAUUAUAGCUGCUGAUCUUAACCAAACAGAAGAGGAAAAGUUGAUGCAAAUGUUGAGGGAGCAUAAAACAGCAUUGGGAUGGAGUAUUGCAGACAUAAAAGGAAUUAGUCCUCAAUUUGCAUGCAUCGGAUAUAUCUUGAGGACAAGUCAAAGCCUUCUAGAGAGGCACAGCGACGUCUAAAUCCACAUAUGCAAGAAGUGGUUCGGGCAGAAGUUCUUAAAUUACUGAAUGUCGGCAUUAUUUAUCCUAUAUCUAACAGCAAAUGGGUAAGUCCACUGCAGGUUGUACCACAGAGAUCUGGAAUUACAGUUGUCAAGAAUGAAAAUAAUGAGCUUAUACCCCAGAGGACUGUCACGGGUUGGAGAAUGUGUACAGAUUACAGAAAGAUCAAUAAUUCAACUCGAAAAUAUCAUUUUCCACUCCCUUUCCUUGAUCUCAUGCUUGAGAGACUUGCAGGCCAUAGUUAUUAUUGUUUUCUUGAUGGCUAUUCCAGAUAUAAUCAAAUUCCCAUAGCUCCGGAAGAUCAAGAAAAGACUACUUUCACAUGUCCAUUUGGAACUUUUGCCUAUCGACGAAUGCCUUUUGGGUUAUGUAAUGCUCCCGCAACAUUCCAAAGAUGCAUGAUGAGCAUUUUCUCAAACUUGGUGGAAAGGUGUAUCGAAGUGUUCGUGGAUGAUUUUUCCGUGUUUGGGUCAUCGUUUGAUCAAUGUCUUCAUCAUCUUUCAUUGGUGCUCUAACGGUGUCAAGAAACCAACUUGAUUUUAAAUUGGGAAAAAUGUCAGUUUAUGGUGAAAAGUGGUAUUGUUCUUGGUCAUGUAAUUUUAGCUGACGGAAUUGAAGUUGAUAAAGCUAAGGUGGAGCUGAUUUCGAAGCUUCCUCCUCCCACUUCUGUAAAAGAAGUUCGAUCCUUUCUCGAGCAUCCAAGUUUUUAUCGCCGAUUUAUUAAAGAUUUCUCGAAAAUCACCAAGCCACUUUGUGAUCUGCUUGCUAAAGAUUCUGUGUUUAAUUUAAAUGGUGAGUGCUUACAAGCUUUUGAGACCCUCAAGAAAGAAUUAACACAAGCCCCAAUCAUAAAAGCUCCAGAGUGGUCUCUUCCUUUUGAAAUCAUGUGUGACGCCUCUGAGUAUGCAAUAGGUGUUGUGUUAGGGCAGCGAGUUAACAAACUUCCUCAUGUUAUAUUUUAUGCUAGCCGAAUUCUCACUUAACAACUUUCAUAUCCCUUAGUUUCCAAAAUUUAAUAUACAAAUUUAGUCUCCCAAGCAUUGCUAUAUUACUUAAGUAUUGAUUAAUAGACUUAUUUCUUAUGGUGACACAUUAUUUAGUUUACAAAUUUAGUCUAUCUAACAUUACUCUUUUGACAUUGUCUUGUCCACUGAUAUAAUUCUAUUUUUCUUGUGAUCAAAACUUCAAAUGUUAGCAAGUCGCACGUAAAGUCGCUUCUGAGAGAAUGUGCUCACAUUGUAGUUGAAAGAUUAUGUGGCUAGCAACAUUACAAAUUUAAUUUGGUAUAAUUUUAAAAUAUAGAUUGAGGAAAAAAAGGAUCACAUUAACUAGAAACUGAAAAGGUUUCGGCGCAAUAUGUUCAAGCAAGAAACUCAAUUUUGAUGCUACCGAUCUUAACAGCCUGAGCGCCGUACCUGGGCACUAAAGUCACCACCACACUCUCAUCAUCUUCAGCACCCAAAUCCUCCAACAGGUCCGUUAACCCCAACCUUAAACAACUCUUGCUCUUUUCCUUCUGCUUAUGUGGCACACUCACAAAACUCCCAGCAAACUCGCUCUUGUCGGGUCCACUCGGUGCCGCAUCCUCAUCAUCCACGUCAUUCACAUACACAUCAAACUUCACAGCCACAUCUUUGUCAAGCUCAAUCCCCCGAAUCACCAAUAUCUCCUCCUCAUCCUCUUUCUCCUUCUUGCUCCUCUUCUUCGGCUUCGGCCUUGACACCACCGUAGUUAUCUUCGUCUCCAAAUUUAUUGGAAAAUCUUUACCCGCCACCACCUUCCCCGAUGACGUCGUCUCAGCGGCCUUCGCCACUCCAGCCGCCUUUGCCUUUCUCGCAAGCUUUGUCCGACGUGGCGUCGGUCUAGAGUUGAGCCAUGGAAUCUCAACAUCUUCAUACGUAUACCCUAGCUUUUUAUUAUCAAGAGUGUCCCUCACCGUGACCCUAACAAGCUCAGCAUUCUCGUCAUAAAACAAAAACCCCGUAUCCAACCAAUCCUUAUCGUUAAUAUCUUUAUUUUUAGUCCCUAUACUUUUCCAAAUAUUCCACAUUCGAUCCAGAUUCAAAUGGUGCGCAAAAAAUAUCGGAUCCCUUGCAGUGGAGUAAAAAUUCCCCAUGUCUUCAUAAUUAGGUUGCGUGUUAUCUCCGGUCCAUGUAUGAACCGGACCAUGUGGGGUCUGUUCGAUUGCACCGGCCCCUGGAUCUGGUUCAGUGCCAGCCCUGUAGGGCGAACCAAAGAACAACAGCGGUUUCUUGGAGUUGGAAACCAUCUGCCUAUACAUGAUUUUGAGGUUGGCUUCGAUUUGAGCAUCCUUGGACAUUGUUUCAUCCGUGCCGUUGAAGUCAAGAUCGAUGAGAGUUGGCGGCUGAUGGCUGGCAGCGCGGAGCUCGUCGUAAAGCGGAGAGUCAGGGUUAGCGUACAAGGCAGGGAGUUGCAUGCCAGCUGGCGCGUCCCAGUUCCAAAACGGCAACGCGAAGGUCGGAUCGUCUAUGAGUUUGGCCAAGAUUCUUUCGUGGAAAUAUAGGUAGUAACGAUGGAAGGGGAAGAAAAGCCAGGAUUGAUGGAUUUGGAGCUCGAGGUUGGGGAAGCCGACUUGGUCGUACGCACCGUUACAAUAGGCACAGUGGACAUCGGCUUGCUGGGUGAAGCUACGCGGAUCGUCGUCCGGGAGGGCUUUCAUGAGCUCGAUGGCUUUUGAGUAUUUUUCGAUGUAGGCUUUAUCCACGGCGUGAGCUGCCGGCCUGACGCGGAGUUUGGUAGGGGAGGGGAAUUUGAAGUCUACGAUUUUUUGGGACGUUGGCGGGCAACAGUUGGUCGGGACUGCUCCACUUGGAAAGUCCGCAGCUCCGCAUUUGGCUAGGUCAGGCGGCGACACUGGCUUUGCAACAGCGAAGGGGUCGCUGCCAAGACCAGCCACUCCACCGUACAGGCUUCCGAGACCUAUAAGUACAUGUCUUCUGUCUAGGUUUACUGGAGAAGGGUUUUCAUGGUCGUGAUCGUUGGAGCUAGUGGAAGGGUUUUUGUUUUGGUCACUACUAUUAUUUGUGGCUUUGCAUGAGACAGCUUGUAAAUUGGAAUGCCUAGGGUUUCCAAAUGAGGAUAUUCGGUGAUACUUUUGGGAGAAAGGAGAGAGAGAAGUUGUGGGGAUGAUACUUGUGGUGGGGGUGACGAGUGGAGCUGACAUAGAAGCCAUGGUUACUUGACUCUGAAUAAUACGUUGUAUGGGCUUUUGCUUUUAUAAUAUGUUCUAGGUUUACUUUUCUUUGCACAGGUGGCAGGCCGUGCACACGUUGUCGAGGAAUAGUACGUAGUCAUUUAGGAGAAAAAUCUAAUUGUGACGGAGGUGACGAGUGGAGCUGACAUAGAAGCCAUGGUUACUUGACUCUGAAUAAUACGUUGUAUUGGCCUUGCUUUUAUAAUAUGUUCUAG